GAACCCACGAACCCCCACCUCUGCCACCAGCUACUUCCCAAAUGGAACGUGAUGGAACUGGACGCUGCAGCCACUCCAUCGGUGAGAAUUUGAGGAAACAAAUCUUGAAGAUUUAUUGAUAUCCACAAGACAGGAAAGACUGUAUCCAGAGUUCAACCACAUGCCAAACAACAAAUACCAGCAAAUAAUCAAUGUAAGUUCAUUUCCUGGCAGUUCACAUUCUUAUUUAACUCUAAAACUUGCAUACAAGAACACAAAUUGCAUAUAAUUAAUAUUGACACAAGCCUAGUUGUCUUUUGAAAUUUUAAGAGUCAAUAGGGCACUCUUUGCUGUAAGAUUCAAGACAUAUCAGUCUUUUGAAAUUUUCUUUUUGUUAAAGUCCUUCAAUCGAAAAAAGUUCUAAUGAACGGAGAAAGUAUCCUGUGAAGUGAAAGUAACGAGAAGUGUGACUAUUAAGAAACUUAUUAGACCUCUACCAUAUAUCAGACUUGGAAUUGUUCCUUGAGAGUUUUCAAUUUACUAAGAUUUAGAACUAACUUACUUUAAAAUCUCAAACGAUAUACAAUCAGAGUCUCCAAAAGCACCACUGAUCGAUACAAAUUGAAUAGAAGUCAAAUUUCAGUUUGUUUUUUCCUCUCUACAUUUCACCUCCUUUUACGCAAGAGAAACUGUAAUAUACCUGAUAUGAAGAGCUAAUGUUAUGCCAAUAGAAGACUUGUUUAUACUUGAAGAGAAUGAGUAGUUAUCUUAUUCAAGAACCAUACCACUUAACAACUUCCAUUAUACUCUGUAAUGAAGAGUACUACAUUCGAGGAUUAAGUGAUAAACUCUUUAUUGAAGGAUACUCGUGCAAAACAAACAAAACGUUUGAAUAAUUUGAGAUAUAUUGCAACGGACUAACUUUACAUAGGUACGUGAGCAAUAAAAAAAAAACAAGGAAUGUAGGAGAUUAACAAUAUGUUGGUUCAAAUAAGCAGAAUAGAGAAUCGUUGAACCUAAUGGACAGACACGCCUCAAACAGGUCAACCCGUUGAAGUACUCCUUCUCAAAGGAGACUGCUACAAUAGCAUCCCUGUUAAACAGUACAACAUUUUCAUGAGAAUAAUACAGUGUGCUUGAGCAUAUUUCUAUCCAAGUUUAACACUUUGCUGGUACGGGAGUAAUAAAGGUGCACAUACAUUGUGGUUUAGCUGCAACUCAUGAACAAAACAAAUGUGGUGGUGGAACAUAAAAUUGUGUCAUGAGAAAAGAGUACUGCAAAAAAGCACAUUCAUCUAACAAGUCUAAAUGAAAAUUUACCUAAGGCAAUUGUCUGCCGCUCAUGGAUUUUGACUUGGUUUACCACAACUACGUUCUAGCAUGACCUUGGAACUAGUAAUCUAUAAGGGAAAAAAAAAUUCAUGAAUAAAUCAUAUCUUAAAAGUAAUAUAGAAGAACAACAACAAUUUGAUUCAAGUGGACUAGCAGAAAGCUGAAAGCAUAGAUAAGAUGCAAUUGACUAAUAAUUUUGCAUUUUAUUAUAGCAAAAUAAUUGCAGGAAAUAGUAUUAAAUUACAUACAGAACUUCUUUUCUAGUACUCGUUGAAAAUAAUAAAUAAAAAUAUGGAAAGAGAAACAGAGACUUACGCAAGUCCUGAAUUAUGCUUCCAUCUACUUUAACUUUUGGAAUUUGGGAAAUGUUGGACCACUGGGAGUUUGGGCCUCUCCGAUUGUUGCAACUCUCUUCUAACUUUGGGCAGCCUUUAAUUUUCAGGUACCAUAAUUUAGUGAGGUGUCAAAUGGCAUCUCUAGAUGGCAAAUGCUCUAGUUUUUCGCAGUUACAUAAACUCAACUCUUCCAAAGAAACAAGGUUGCCAAGCGCAUCCGACACAACUUCUAACAAUGGACAAUCACGGAUCUCCACAUACCGUAAUUUGAGCAUGACAUCUGAGAAGUCCAGAUGUUUUAGCCGUUUGUAGCUCUCUAGACGUAAUGUUUCAAGAGAAGUAAGGUUGUCAAGUCUAUGAGGAAGAUCCUCGAUUCCGAAAUCACAUAUAUAGAUAUGUGUUAGGGAAGAGAGCUACAUAAGCUGAUGGGGCAGAGAAUCCCAACGCGUACGUCCGUACACAUCCAAUGUACGAAGGAACGAUAGCUGCUGAAUGCCAUUAAAAAUCAAUUGGAAUGCCUCAAAAUCCACCAUCUCUGAGAAAUGACCAAUAUGCAAUAUCCUUACCCAGUGAGACGAUGAAGGUCCCCUGCGGGUAUAAUGAAUUUGGGACAAUUUGAUAAAUCCAAACAUAAAAGUGAAGGCAUUUCCCACACGUGUAAAGGCAAGGAGAGUAAGUUGUUACAGCACAUGAACACCAAAGAUUCCAGAGACCGACAAUGCUCUAGCAUUCCACUUGGUAAACUGGUCAAUCCAUAACAAUAAUAUAACUCAAGACUUUGGAGGGAAGUCAAAUAAUUCUCUCCACUGGGAACAUGGAAAGAACUGAAAUUGGGGCACAAAUGUAUUUGUAAGCUCUUAAGAGAAUGGAGAUUGUACAAGCUUUAUGGCAAUUCACGAAAGUCUCUGCAGCUUGAGACCGUUAGGUUUUGAAGAGAAACGUUGUUGCGUAGCAUCUCAUCAGGAAAACAAGUGAGCUCAUUCAUAGCAUGGACACUGAGAUCUACGAGAGAUGUCAGGUUGCUGCACAAGUUCAACAAUGGCAUUUCACUGUCAACUCUAUCAAUACUUAAUUCAUAGAGGAUUUCAAAUUGACUUGGAGUACUUUUUAACAAUGGACAUUUACUAAUGCUCAACUUCUCAAGCCUAGGAAACAUUCUUACUCCAUCUUCAUCUCCCUUUCACUCAAUAAGGCUACACAUAUCCUCCAAUACUAGUUUUCUCAGUGACGGGAACACUUGGAUAUUGCUGCUUGAUCCAAUAUUGCUACCAUAAAAUGUAGGCCCGAUGCAUUCCACCUCAUGGAAUCCUAACAGCUCAAGAUGCCGAAACAAUUUCAGUUGGCCAAGCAAUGGAUUUCUUUGCAUCUUUUGCAACCACUUAAUUUCAACCUGACCAAAUUUGGUAGCAAAUCUUCAUGGAACCAUGAAGGAAAUUUAGUCCCUAAAUAGUCCACUACUGCUAAGGUUUUCAAGUUAGGAUGGGGUUGAAGACCAUCCAAGACAUACUCAUCAUUGGUCUUACUUCCUUCUGGUUUGUCAUGGAACCACAAAUAUGCCAGCUUGUAGAUAUUCGAUUUCUCUUGCAAAUGUGUUGUUUGAGCUUCUUCUCUAUCACCUACCAAUUGUAGACACAAUUAUUGAUGCCUUAAAGUCCAAUUUGAAAGGUGUCACUGUCCUCACUUCUGCAGUAGAGAACAAGGAGGAUGAAAUAUUGGGUGAGAAUAAUUCCAACCAACCUUGUGAGAAUUCUGUUUCGAGUGGACAGAAAAAUAAAGAUGAUAAUUUGUGUGAGCGUAUCACAUCCCUUGAACUAUCAAUGAUGGAAGUUGUUGCUUUCAUACGAGAUGAGAAAUUGAGGAGAGCUUAAAAGAACAAGAAAAAUGAAGGUAGACUAAUUUAUAUACUAUUUGUGUGAAAUAAUUUAUUUGUAAGAAUGCUAAGCCACUGAUCUUGCAGCAGUUAAUGAAGACUAUACAGCACCAACAGUUGAUAAAGAUGGUGUUGCAGUUGAUGAUGAUGAAAUACUUCCAUUAGCAAUAGUCGAUGAAGAUCUUGUUGCAGUUGAUGAAUACUUUGCAAAAGAAGUUAAUGAACAAGAGGAGGAGAAGAUGGCAUAAAAAGAUAAAGAAAGAGAAGGAGAAAAUGGAAGAGAACGAAAAAGAAAUUGAAGAGAAGUUGGAAGGAAGAAACAAGAAGAAAAAAAAGAGGAGCAUAUCGAAGAGAACAAAGAAGAAAAAAAAGAAGAGGAGCAGAUCAAAGAGAAGGAAGAAGAACAAAAAGAAGAGGAGAAGAUCGAAGAGAACAAAGAACAAGAAAAAAAGAGGAGCAGAUCGAAUUGCAGGAAGAAGAAAAAGAACAGGAGAAGCUGGAAGAGAAAGUAGAUGAAGGCGGUGAUAAAAAUUCCGUAGACGUGAUGUGUAUUGUUAUGAAGCUCAAUAGUGAGCUAAAUGGUGAUGAGUAAGGUAUUUGUGAUAUUGGUUUAUUAAGACAAUUGGUUUUUGAAGUUAGUUUAAGACAAUUGGUUUUUGAAAUGGUUGGUUUUUGUGUUAAUGAUAAGACAAUUAGUUUUUAAGAUAAUUAGUUUUUGGUGGUUGAAUACUAAGACAAUUGGUUUUUGAAGUGGGUACAUAAUUAAGACAGUUGGUUUUUUAAAUGGUUGAUUUUUGGUGGUUGAUGAUUAAGACAGUUGGAUCAUGCAAAUGUUAGUUUUGUUUUGAUGGAUAUUGUUCCCAAUUAUGAACUUUAAAUUGUAUAUAUAAUGCAUUGUCUUACCAAUUCCAAAAAGACUUUAUUUUAUUAAUAGAUUGUACUACUACAUGAGUAAAAGAUAUAAGAUUGUACUACUGUAUCCCUGUUACACAUUUCCAAAAAGCAACGACUAACAACAAACCAUACAAUAUAAUUUUUAGGUCUUUCUCUUUUUCUUCAGCCAAUAUCAACUUUUGUUUUAGUUGAUCCCUAUCUAUUUCGGUGUCUUUUAGCAAUCCUUUAAAGUGAUCUCUCUGCUCUUCGGCCUCUUUGAAUAAACUCAAUAGAAAAUUCCUAUUUUCUUCGGAGUUUCGAAGCCUUUCUAAGAUUUGAAAUUUGGUAACGCUUUGAAAGUUUGAUGUCUCGAGUUCCGGACUCAAUCUUGAUGGGUUGCUCGUUGAUGAAUCAUUUUCAAGCCACUUAAAAAAAGAGCAUGCACCAAUUGCACAGUUAAAGCGUUCGUAUCGGUGUGUGACGUCCUCAACAUAGCUAAAUUACCACAACGACAAACGUAAGAUUUUUUUGCAUUGGAUGUUUGAGAUGCUUGAGACAUAAUAAAAAGAGAUGUUUAAGUAUUAUAAAAUAGAAUAAGAAUAUGGAAGAGUUCAUGAAUCCUUCUUUUUAUACACUAAAAAAUAGAAAAUGUGUCCUGCUCCACUUCUCAAAACCAAGAUCAUGCUCAAGGACGACCGCUGCAGCGGGGCAUUUGUUCUUGAAUUCUACAAAAUGAUUGUCAAACUCCUCCAAAGAAUAAGCCUUUGUCGCAUUGUAGUAAAGAUAAAGGUAAUCUCCACAAUGAUGAUUUACGUCGAGAUUUUCACCAAGGUGUCUUAUAUAAUAUCCGUGGUGAGCAUGAUUAUAAACGUUCACAAUAUUGUUGGCGAUACUCUUGUGUCUGUCGGGGAUAAAACACAAAUCUGGUUCAUCGACCACAAUCUCCUUCAAUUUCUCAAAGAAGAAUGUCCAAGAUGCAUCAUUCUCUUUGUCCACGACACAAAAGGCAAUUGGAUAAACAUGAUUCUCCGUAUCUUGUGCAACAACGCUCAAUAACACGCCCUCGUAUUUACCAUGUAAAUGAGUGCCAUCAACCGCAAUUACAUUUCUCAUGUGGGCAAAUCCCUUAAUGCAAGCACCAAAGGAUAAGAAACAAUACAUGAACCUAUGACUAUCCUCGUUACCAUGAGACAAUAACUAGAAUCAACAUUAAGUGUCUCGAACAUGUAGGAAAAAGCUGGUAAGCAUGAAUAUCCGUUCUCCGUUGUCCCUCGGACCAUUUCCUUAGCAACCACACCACCCUUCCAAUAUUUUCAAUAGCUUGGACUACAAAGAAAAGAAUUAAACAUAUUUCUUUGAAUCUCUUUAACAUUUGGCAUCACGAUACAUAUUUACACAAAGUGAAACAAUGACUUUGAUUGAAAUUUUUCUAUGGCUACUGUUGGCAUGUUUAACGCCACAACUAUGUUCGCCAAUGUACUUAUAGUUAUAGAUACGAAAUCUAUCCGAACACUCAUAUUUCCUCGCUCGCAACAUCCAUGAACAAUUGCGAGAUACACAUUUCACCUUUAAGUAUUUAGUACAACUCUUCACAGUAGCAAAAUCAAAAGACUUUGUUGCCGCCGCUUCGGAUAAUAACAAUUGCAACUCAUUCUUCUUAUUGAAAGUUUGGUUUAUACAUAAAUUAGUUCCAUCAAAGAAGGAAUGGUUGGAUUGUGAUCCCAAUUCCUUUGUACCUGCAUUUCUUCACAACAUUCGAGUUCGGGAUCUUCCGCAUCUACUGGCUGAUUUUCCACAUUAGUUGGCUCAUCAUGUAUAUUUAUUGAAUGAUCACCCAAAUUCUCAUUUGAAUUAUCACCCAAGCUCUCCUUUGAAUGAUCACAUAAUCUUUCUUUUCCAAUCGAAUCAUUGUCGCCGUAAAUGAAUUUGUUGGUUUAAUUAGAGGCCUCACAUUGACGUUUAUCCUCAAUGUAGGUCUAGAGCCAUCAAUACCAAUAUCUAGCAUGUAUAAGCUCACGUGCCUAUCAUUUUUUAUGAAUGUGGGAUGUAUUUUCCCCCUCCCAUUCAUUUCAUAGCUAAUCACCAAGUCAUUUGGCUCGCAAGUUAACUCACCGGCCUCAAUUACGCUUGCAAUCAUAUCGUCAUAUGAACCAUUGCGACGCAACGCAAUGGGCACUGUCGUCUUACUAAAAGAUUUCCAAUUCUAGCUUUUAGGAGUCUCCUCCCAUACUUCCAUAUAAUCACCACAAGCAACAACAAAUUCAGCUACUGUCAUUAUAGACUACAAAGAUAGAUACUAGAUUACAGUAUCAGUCGUUAACGAUCGAUGAAGUACGACAUCCGUACAAAAACGCGAUUGAAUGAGAUCGUGCUUCAAAAUGCAGCUCCUGCAAUAGCGAAACAGAUUUUUAAUGCUUUUAAACUACUAAAAUGAAUCUAUAAUGAGUUAUCAAGUGUUUAAUAUGGAAGAUUUCUCAAAUUUCUAAAAUGGCGGGAAAAUCAUUUGGAAGCUUUGCUUUUGAAAGAAAAUGGAGUAAACAUGAAUAUGGAGUAGGAGAUGAUGAUGAUUUUACCUUGGAAAUUGAUAUUUUGGCCGGAAAACUCAUCGGAAUCGUCAGUUUCGACAACAGCAAAACGAGUUGCUCUUCUUUCCCGUUUGGCUUUUAUCUUUUUUUCUAAUAUAAUUUUUAACAAAUGCAAAUAUAUAUUAUUCCAAAUUAGUUGGAAAAGAAGGGGGGACCAAAGUGGAGAUAUGAAAACUUAGGGAGGUCUUUUGUAUGAGCCAAUUAAGGCAUGUGGAUGAUGUCAUUAAUAGUGGGUAUACCACAAAUUAUUCAAGACUUUUGUCUUAAUGUUCAAUUAAGUUUGGAGAGUGGCUAUUUUGCCAACUCUCCCAAGUUUGAGUCCCUUUUUCCUUUAAUUUUAUAUUCAUUUAUUUAAGUAGUUUUUUGUUUUAUUUGUACAAGUAGUUUUAUUUUAGAUUUAUUUGUACAAAUAGUUUUAUUUUAGAUUUUAUUUGUACAAAUAGUUUUAUUUUAUUUUAUUUGUAUGAGUAGUUUUCUUUUAGGGGGUGGGUGGUGGGUGGUCGAGGGUAGGGGUGAAAAAAUAAAAUUUUGAAGUUGAAAAUAUUUUUUAAAAACAAACUUAAAUUUUUUUUUUNNNNNNNNNNNNNNNNNNNNNNNNNNNNNNNNNNNNNNNNNNNNNNNNNNNNNNNNNNNNNNNNNNNNNNNNNNNNNNNNNNNNNNNNNNNNNNNNNNNNNNNNNNNNNNNNNNNNNNNNNNNNNNNNNNNNNNNNNNNNNNNNNNNNNNNNNNNNNNNNNNNNNNNNNNNNNNNNNNNNNNNNNNNNNNNNNNNNNNNNNNNNNNNNNNNNNNNNNNNNNNNNNNNNNNNNNNNNNNNNNNNNNNNNNNNNNNNNNNNNNNNNNNNNNNNNNNNNNNNNNNNNNNNNNNNNNNNNNNNNNNNNNNNNNNNNNNNNNNNNNNNNNNNNNNNNNNNNNNNNNNNNNNNNNNNNNNNNNNNNNNNNNNNNNNNNNNNNNNNNNNNNNNNNNNNNNNNNNNNNNNNNNNNNNNNNNNNNNNNNNNNNNNNNNNNNNNNNNNNNNNNNNNNNNNNNNNNNNNNNNNNNNNNNNNNNNNNNNNNNNNNNNNNNNNNNNNNNNNNNNNNNNNNNNNNNNNNNNNNNNNNNNNNNNNNNNNNNNNNNNNNNNNNNNNNNNNNNNNNNNNNNNNNNNNNNNNNNNNNNNNNNNNNNNNNNNNNNNNNNNNNNNNNNNNNNNNNNNNNNNNNNNNNNNNNNNNNNNNNNNNNNNNNNNNNNNNNNNNNNNNNNNNNNNNNNNNNNNNNNNNNNNNNNNNNNNNNNNNNNNNNNNNNNNNNNNNNNNNNNNNNNNNNNNNNNNNNNNNNNNNNNNNNNNNNNNNNNNNNNNNNNNNNNNNNNNNNNNNNNNNNNNNNNNNNNNNNNNNNNNNNNNNNNNNNNNNNNNNNNNNNNNNNNNNNNNNNNNNNNNNNNNNNNNNNNNNNNNNNNNNNNNNNNNNNNNNNNNNNNNNNNNNNNNNNNNNNNNNNNNNNNNNNNNNNNNNNNNNNNNNNNNNNNNNNNNNNNNNNNNNNNNNNNNNNNNNNNNNNNNNNNNNNNNNNNNNNNNNNNNNNNNNNNNNNNNNNNNNNNNNNNNNNNNNNNNNNNNNNNNNNNNNNNNNNNNNNNNNNNNNNNNNNNNNNNNNNNNNNNNNNNNNNNNNNNNNNCCCCCUCCCCAAAAAAAAAUUUAAGUUUGUUUUUAAAAAAUAUUUUCAAUUUCAAAAAUUAUUUUCUACUCUAGUAAAAAUAAAAGAUAUUUCUCAAAAAUAUUUUUCAUUCAUAAAUCAAACACAAAAUCUUUUUCGAAAAAUAUUUUCUACUCACCAACCAAACAUGAAAAAAUAAAUCAAAAAUCUACUUGUUUUCUCGGAAACAUUUUCCAAGAAGACAUUGAAAAUAGGCAUUCGAAGGACAGACGCUCCAAGAAGAUAUUCAACAUUCAUUACUUUUCUUCAAUGAAAGUGUACAUUGUAUAUUGUUGAGGGAAGAUCCUUAUUUGUCAUGUCAUCUUGACACACUAUAAUAGGAAAACAACUCCUAAUGUCUCACGAAAAUUGACUUAAGAAAAGCAUAUGAGAUGAUCAGUUGGGAGUUCAUCAGUGAAGCUCUGAAAGGGCAUGUAUUUCUAUACUUUAGGAACUUGGUGAUGACAUGUCAUAUCUCUUAACCAAGUUCACUAUUAACGUAAACGGAGAUGGAUACCGAUACUUUGAAGGGAGGAGAGGCCUCAGGCAGCGAGUCCCUAUGUCACCUCAGGCAGAGUACCUCUCUAGAGUCUUGUAGAAAAUGAGUGAUUCACCAAAUUUCCAAUUUCAUCUAAUGUGCAAAGGAAAAAAGUUGACACAUCUUAUAUUUGCUGAUAAUGUUACGGUGUUCUGUAAGGGAAAUAUGAGUUAACAGGAUUGGUAGUUCAGAUGAGACAAGGAAAGUGGCCCUAGUCUCUUAGGAGAAGUUGUAUGUGCCAAGGAAAUUAGGAGGUCUGAACAUAAAAAGUUGUGAUUUCAUUGGAAAACUGGUCUGGUAAUUGGCAAUGAAGAAAGAUCUGUCAUGGAUCAAAUAGGUGAAUGUCCUGUAUAUGAAAAGGUGAUCAGCACUUCUGGAACCAUAUAACACCAGUGGACUGCAAUUGGUAUUGGAGGAAGUUAAAUGCAUAAAUGGUAUCAAAAUGGUAGAUACUGUCUAACUCCGAAUGGUAACUACUCCAAUUAUAAAUGCUUUAAUAGUAAGAUCACCAAAGUUAUUGAUAUCUCAUCUAGUGAGGAGUUGCGUUUCAGUAACCCUGUGGCUAGCCAAUCAAAGGAGGUACUUACAAAAGAAAGAAUGACAAGAAUGAAGAUAUUAAUCUACAUAGUGCAAUCUGGUCUAUCUGAAAGAAUAAUGAGCAAUGCGAUAUGUUAUACAAAGACACAAAAAUGCAGUCCUGUACGAAAUUGGAAUAACACACGUAGCUUGUGACUUUUGAAUACAUAUUGUUUGGAUUUAAACAAUGCAAAUGGUAGGCCCUGUCUUUUUUGUUUAUACUUGCGAACAAAAGCCAAGAGAAAUUUCAAGAGGAAAAGCAGAUGUACAUUACAGAAGCUAACAACUAGGCAAUGAAGCAGCAGCUAAGUAUAAAAGUUCAAAAUGUUUGUUGGAAAAAUGAACUCUAUUUGUACCAAAAGGCACGUAUGCUGUGAAAGAAAGGCGCCUCUGCUGUCAAAUCUUAGUCAUACAAGUAAAUAGUAUUUCCACUCCAAUUUCCGCCACAUGCAAUUUCCCUUGCCAAUCAUGACACUCAAACACAUCUCUAACACAAGUAGCAUUUCGAAGGUCCAUGCUGGAGUUUCAAACAUGAAUCUGAAACACGGGAAAUGGUAAAAAGUUAGUUUUGGCACACGUUUCCUCCUUGGAGAAUGGAGAAGCGGAUCAUUACAAGUAACCACUAAAAAAGGACAGAGGAAAACCUGUUUAAGAUGAACAUAUACUGCUAAGGACAUUUUAAGAGCCAAUGGGUCACCCUUUGCAAAAAUAUUCAUGACAACUAUCUUUGUUGAAGUCCUUCAUUUGCGGAAGUUUUAAUGAACGGAGAAAUUGUCCUGUGAGGUGAAAGUAACGAGAAGUGUUUCAUAUAUUCAUAAAAGUUGUACUGUCUUAAGCAUGAAAAUAAAACCAGAACUGCAGAAGACAUAAAGAUUAUUCUUUUAUGAGUCUAUUAAGAAACUUAUAUAGAUUUCUACCAUAUAUGAGACUUGGUAUUGUUCCUUGAGAGUUAUCAAUACUUACAUGGAGAAUAGACCCCGUGUAGCUUCUCAUUGAGCACCCUAUACGCUUUUGAGUUUUUGAUGUUUCAUAUGUAGACUGUAGUUCCCCGAAAAUACUCAUGAAAGUGUCCCAUAAUGAGUCUACAGUUGAAGAUUGUUCUUCAUACAAAAUAACAGUGGUGGUUCCUCUGUGAAACACGACAAGUCCCGUUAAACAUUAAAAUUAUUUCAUGAGAGAAAAGGAAAGUAAAAAAAAGAAACUUUACAAACUUGUUAUAGCAUUCCUCUAACAACUAAAUAAAAAUACCUAACAUGAUUCUGCCCAUGGAUUUUGACUAGAUAUACCACAACGACGUUCUACUAUGUCCUUGUACCUAGUAACCUAUGAGCAGAAAUCAUAAAUUUUCAUGAUUAAACUUUUUUUUAAGGAAGGUAAUGUUGUAUUCAUCAGCAUAGACCUCCGAAAAUUGGUUUCCAACAAAAAGAAAGAUAGAAACAAGUAGAUUACAAAGUGCCUAUAAAUUAUAAAUGAAAAUUUACCUAACGUAAUUGCCUGCUGCUCAUACGAUUUGGCUUGAUUUACCACAGAGACGUUUUGAACCAGCUACCUAUAAGGAAAAGAAACAUAAUUUUUAGAAUAACAGCAAUUCAGUUCAAGUGGACAAGCAGAAUCCAGCAUAGCAACAGAUGCAAUUGAUUUAAUCUAACUUUUUUUUUUUAUGUCAAAAUAAUUUCAAGAAAAAUUAUUACAUUACUUACCAAACUUCUUUUUUGGAACUCGUGGAAAAUAAUAUUCUAAUUAAAAAUGCGAGCGACUCAGUAAGUGAAAGAGAAACCGAGACUUACGGUUGUCCUUCUCCGCCCACCUAAUUCAAUAUUUGAAAUAUGGGAAAUUUUGGACCACUGGGAGUAGUUGGUGAAACUUUCUUCUAACUUUGGGCAGCCUUUAAUUCCCAUGUUCCAUAAUUUAGUGAGGCGUCGCAUGGCAUCUCGGGACGGUAGAUGCUCUAGUUUUUCGCAGUCAUGUAAAUAUAAUUCUUCCAAAGAAACAAGGUUGCCGAGCCCAUCCGACAGAGCUUCUAACAAUGGACAAUCACUUAUACACAGAAGCCGUAAUUUGGGCAUGGCAUCUGAGAAGUUCAGAUGUUGUAGCUGUUUGCACCUCACUAGAGUCAAACUUUCAAGAGAAGUAAGGUUGUCAAGUCUAGGAGGAAGAGCCUCAAUUCCAAAAUCAGCUAUUGUGAUCUCUCUUAGGUCAGAUAGUUGCAUAAUCUGAUAGGGCAGAGAAUCCCAGUGCCCACGUCCGUACACCUCCAGAUCACGAAGGGACAACAGCUGCUGAAUGCCAUUAAAAAUCAAUUGGAAUGCAUCAAAAUCCACCAUCUCUGAGAAAGGACCAAUUCCCAAUCUCAAUAACCCGGUGAGAUGGUGAAGGCCCACUUUGGGUACACUAAUCAAUUUGGGACAUUCUGUUAUAUCCAAAAAUGAAAAUGAAGGCAUUUCCCACACAUGUAAAGGGAAUGAAACCAAGUUGUUACAGCAGCUGACACACAAAAACUCUAGAGACCGGCAUUGAUCUAGCAUUCCAAUUGGUAAACUGAUCAAUCCAUUACAAUUGUAUAAGAAAAAGAAUUCGAGGGAAGUCAAAUAGUUGUCUCCAUUGGGAACAGGAAGAGAACUGAAAUUGGUGCAGUUGUAAAUGUCUAAUCUCUUAAGAGAAUGGAGAUUGUACAAGCUUUGUGGCAAUUCACGAAACUCUCCGCAGUUGAAAAUCGUUAUCUGUUGAAGAGAAACGUUGUUACGUAGUAUCUCAUCUGGAAGACAAGUGAGCUCUUUCAUAUCAUAGACACUAAGCUUUACGAGAGAUGUCAAGUUGCUGCACAAGUUCAACAAUGGCAUUUCACUGUCAACUCCUCUAAUUUCUAAUUGACGGAGGAUUUCAAAUUGAUUCGGAAUACUUUUUAACAAUGGACAGUCUGUAAUCCGCAACUUCUCAAGCCUGGGAGACAUUCUUACUCCAACUUCAUCUCCCUUCCACUCAAUAAGGCUACGCAUAUCCUCCAAUACUAGUUCUUUCAAUGAUGGGAACACUUGGAUAAUGCUGUUUGAUCCAAUAUUUCUAAUCUCAACACCAUCUAAAGCAGGUCCAAUGCAUUCCAACUCAUGGAAUCCUAUCAGCUCAAGAUGCCGAAGGAAUUUCAGUUGGCCAAGGGAUGGAAUUUCUUUGCACCUUUUGCUACCACUUAAUUUCAACUUGACCAAAUUUGGUAGAGACUCUUCACUGAACCAUGAAGGAAAUUUAGUCCCUAAAUAGUCCACUACUGCUAAGGUUUUCAAGUUAGGAUGCGGUUGAAGACCAUCCAACACAUGCUCAUCAUUGAUCUCACAGCCUUCUGAUUCAUCAUGGGACCAUAAAUAUGCCAGCUUGCAGAUAUUUGGUUUAUCGUGUAAAUAUGCUGUUCGAGCCUCUUCUUUAUCACAGACCAAUUGGAGACCAUUGAUUGUCAAUUCACCUCUUAGGUUUUUCAAAUGACCUAAUUCUUCUAUUUGACGACCUUUCUCUAAACCUACCUUGAAAAACUUGAGGGUUUGAAGACUAGUCAAUUGCCCCAUAUUAAGUGGAAUCUGAAAAUGUUCAUUGUGAAGACACCAUCCUCCCCAAUGCCCACUUGUUUCGUCAACAGAAGUGUAAUAUAUGUGUCUCAAACUUAUCAUAUUUCUCAUCUCAUAUGGAAGUUUCUGGAGUGAAAAGCAGUUGAUGACUCUAAAUGUUUGCAAAUUAUAGAGCUCGCAAAUGGAGUUGGGCAAGGCUGUGAUCUCAGUGUUCGAGAGAUCAAGAUAUCUCAAGUAUAUCAGCUUCCCCAUUUUGGCUGACAACUCCUUGAUUCCUGAACUGGACAAAUCUAAAACUCUCAAGAACUUAAAGUUCAACAGCAUAUCUUUAGACGUAUAAUUGCUUCUCCAAAACAGUGUGCACAAACGUUCUGGCUCAUAUAUCUUAUCUAUUUGAUCCGUUGGUGACUCACAUCCAAAGUAUCGAACUUGAGAAAGUUUUUCUCCAUUGUCUCCCUUCGGAUCAAAUAGUCUAGAUUUUAAGAUAUCUCCAGCCAAAUCAUGCACAAGAUCGUGCAUCUUAUAGUGUGUUAUAGUGUUGUGUUCAUCUAACACAACAUCUUGUAGCAAGGAAUUCUGCAACAAGAUUUGAAAAAACCUGUGCCCAACGUCUUCCAUCACAGGGAUCUCUUGACUUGGACGAAGAAACCCUUCUGCCAUCCAGAGUUGGAUUAGUUGGUCCUUUUCAAACAUAUAAUCUUUUGGAAACAUUGCAAAGUAAGCAAAGCAUUUUUUCAGAUGUGGAGAUGGUAGAUAAUCAUAGCUGAGUUUUAGGAUUUUCUUUAUGCUAUUUUCUCCAUUAUCAUCUUCACCUGCAACAAGGAGGCUGCCAUCAAGAAUUGCUUGCCAUUCAUGUUUUUCUUUGUUGUGUAAGAGCCCUCCCAACGCACUUGCAGCCAACGGUAGACCUUGGCACAUUUUAACAAUCUUGUUGCCCAUGCUCGCUAAUUCCUCUGGAACCCUGCCAUCAACAAAUGCUUUUUGUUUGAAAAUAGACCAACAAUGAUCUUCUGUUAACUUCCCCAAGAUAUGAAGAUCUGUUGCUACUGUGGAUGCCACCCGCUUCAUACGAGUAGUCACAAGAAUGCAGUUUCCUCUGGAUGUAUUUAUUCCUCUCAAGGUGUCAACGAACUCAUGCCAUGAUGUAGAGUCAACACACCACAAAUCAUCCAGGACUAGCAAAUAUUUUUUUCCUCUCAAUUCAUCUUGUAGCUUCUUGACUAUUAUAUCUCUCCUUUCAACCUCAAUUCUCCUCUCUAUCAAUGAUUCGAGGAUUUGUUCAAGAAAGCACUUCGUUUCAGACAUUUCAGGUAGACACAACCAAAUUCUCUUUUCAAAGAUUUGCUGGAUGUGUUCAUCAUUGUAAAUCCUCUUAGCCACAGUUGUUUUCCCUAAACCUCCCAUACCUACUAUGGGAAUGGUGGACAGAACAAUAUCCUCCUCUCUCAUGUUCAAAAUCUUCUCCUUUAUCUCAGCAACAUCCAAAUCUCUACCAACAAUAUCAGAAGCAACUACUAAGGAAUCUGUUUCUCGAAUUGGUAGUAUUUUCCGAAAAGGAACCAUGAGUGAUUGUAGACCGAGGUCUUUGGCUACCUUAUUGAUAGCCGUCAACUCUUUAUUGAUGUUGUUGAUUUUUUGAGACAUUUUUCUCUUAAAAGCAGUAUGAGAAAAGAAACCACUGACCUUUUUCAAUGGGCUCCUCACCACUUUUGUUUUGAGAGAUUCAUAUCUGAAUCGAUCAAACACAUUUUCAGCAUCUUCAGCAACUCUCUCAAGCCUGUUGAGCCAUUGUUCGAUAGACUGUUGUUUCUCAACUUGUGGUGUUUCAACAUCAUGAAUGAAAGCUUGGAUUAAGGAUACAUUUUGUGUCAACAUUUCGAGAUCUUUGUUGAAAUCCCUUGAGCUGUUGACCUCCUCGAUAGUGAGAGAAAUCAACUUUUCAAGCAAAACUUGAACAGUAGCACCAAUUACAGGAUCGGCCAUUGUUGUGUUUGCUCCUUCACAAAGUCUUCUUCCUCUGCACCAAAGUCUUCUCAAAGUAAGUCUUCUUUUGGUAGUUGUUUGUAGAGUACUCAAAGGAAGACAAUAAUUCAUAUACAAUCAUUCAAACAGUAAUAAAAAAAAAAAAUACAUGUGGAUGAAACCAAGUUUGAGUCUCUUUUUCCUUUUAUAUUCAUUUAUUUAAGUAGUUUUUUGUUUUAUUUGUACAAGUAGUUCUAUUUUACAUUUUACUAGAGAACUUAUUCCGUGCUUCGCGUGUAUGAAUUUUUGAUAUUAGAUUUCUUUUUAAAUAUUUUAAAUUUUAAUCAAUUAUAUUAUUAGUAAAGUUUCUAUGAUUUUUUAGCACUUAAAAAUUCAGAGCCUUUCCAUAAAACUUAUAUAAUAUUUUAAUCAAUUAUAUUAUUAGUACAUUUUCUAUGAUUUUCAGCACUUGAAAAUUCAGAGCCUCUUUAUAAAACUUGUAUAGUGUAUAAUCUAUAUAAGUGAAAUGAUAUUUUUAUUUUUGUUAAAAGAAUGUAAAGAAAGGAUAGAAGUUCAAGAAAAAUCAAAUUCUUUCUUCAAGUAUAUGUAUUACUAAAUUUUAAAACAUGAAUAUUUCUUUUUAAUCUUUUAACUUAAUCUCCUCAAAUACUUUCCCACAUAAUUACGCAUUAUCUUUUGAAAAUUGUCCAAUCAUAUUCCUUUUUCGUCUUCUAACUUCACAAUAAUAAAGAUAAAUAACCAAAAUAUAUUUUCAAAGUCUCAGCAUAAAAUGUAAGAAAAGCUAUUACAGAAAUCACGCAUAAAAACAUGUUAUAAAAUAUGAAGAAGUAUAAACAUUAUUACCCAUUAAUUAUCCCAUUUAAUUUGAGAAUAUGCAAGUAAUUAAUAUAGUCAGGAAUAGGAAAAACAAAUCAUUAGUAUAGUGUUACUAUAAAAUUCAGUAAAACAUUAUAAAUUAUUUUUUUUAAUAUUAGAAUCGCAAUACAGAAUUUUAAAAACGGCUCUUACACAUAUAAAUGAUUAAAAAUAAUCAUAUUUAUGAUGGGGAAUGCAACUCUAGGUGCAAUCCAUUUAUAAAAUGAACUUUUGAGGUUUGAUAAAGAGAAAUCAUGAAAUAAUUAAAAUAAAUAAAUAAUUGUAUUAUUUUUAUGUUCUUAAUUAUUAAAGUAUUUUAAAAAAUGAAAUUAAUAUACAAUUUUUUGAGCUUUUGUUGAUAUUCAUUUUCACAAGCCAUAGCCAUCAUUCAAUAGCCUUCAUCUUCUUUCAAGUCAAUCCAAAGCAUCAAACAUAAUAAGCAUUGAAAACGUGAAUACUUAAAAUGCUAAUGUUCUCCUUCCAAUAAAGUUUUACAAUAUCUAUGUUUAUAUUAUUACAAUAUAAAAAACCAAAUAAUAUUAUGAAUAUGAGUAUUAAUUAUUUGAGCAAAAAAGAUUAUCCUAAAGGUGUAGUAAUGGGGUAAUGAGAAAAGAUCCAAAAAAAGAAAGAAGAGAAAAGACAAUAAUCAACAUGGGUUGUGGUGCACUGAUGAGAGUGUUACCCUUAACCAGAGGUCUCGGAUUCGAGUCCUUGUAUGAAGAGAAUCCUGUUGUGAGCACCACCCUCGAAUGAGCCCUGCAGAGCGCGAUUUGGAUUUAAUCGAAGCUCUUAUGUGGGCUCCGAACACCCAGUGAAAAAAAAAAGAAGAGAAAAAACAAUUAAUGAAUACUAAUGAAAGGAAACAAUUGCUUAUUCAAAAAGAAAUUAAAUAAAGCACAAAAAAAAAGUAAAACAAACCUCACAAAGCCGCCACAAAGAAAUUCAAUAGGAAAUCCCACUAAAGCCUAAAUAAGGGUCAGGAAAAAGAAACAAAAGUUAACGAAGCUUACCAGUCAUCCGUCUCCAUUGACAUUUCAAAUUUCUUCGCCACAAGAUAUAUAUAUAAAAUUUGAAAAAUCAUCAUUAAUUUUCUUCAUUUAGUAAAAAAUAUAUAUAUAUAUAUUGAAAAUGAAAGGUUUUAAAACUGAAGCUUAAUUGGGUUAUUAUUCCAUUUUUAAAUGUCUAAUUAAUCUUUUAAAUUGAGUAAUGACUUUGAUUAGAACGGUUGCAAUGGAUGAAAACCGUUUUUUUUUUUUUAUCUUUAGACAUGAAUACACAUUAGAUUGAAUUACAAAUUAAAACUUAUUUAAUAGAAACAAUGAGGAAUUAAAGCUAUUUUUUUAGAAAAAACAAAAAAAAAAGCAGAAAAGAUAAAUAUGAAUUGUAGCUAUAGAGAUGUGCCAUAUCACCUUUUUAUUAUCUAACUUUAUAUUAUACAUAGAUUUAGAUUGAUACAUAGAUAUAGAUAGAUUGUAAAGAAAUUAAAUAAUAAAGAGAGAAGAUAUUAAAAAAAUGUUGUCAUUUUACGAUUAGAAGAAGGUAAAAAAUAAAGUUAAGUUGUUUCUACUUAGUAGGCGUUUGGCCAUGCGAUACCAUAUCACGAUAUGGUAUCGUGAGAUGGAAUCCGCGUUUGGACAUGCGAUUUUACGCUGAUUCCAUCUCAUGAUUCCAUAUCAUGAGAGGUGAUACCAUAUUCUCCAAAAACCAUGAUAUGAUUUGAGAUAUUUUAAUACAAUAUUUGAUCCAUGAGUUUAUAUUUUGUUAAAACAACCCCACAUUUAUAUCUACUAACCAUUUGUUUCAUAUGUAAAUAAAAUUUAUAGUCACAUCAUUACUUUUUAAAAUUUAUUAUUCUCACCAAUAUAAAAUUUAUUAUUACUUUAAAUUUGGUGAAUAUAAAUGAUAAAGUAGAAAUUCAUUUGGUGAAUAUAAAUAAGAACGAAGGGAGUAACACUUUCUUUAUUUUUCAUAAUAAAAAAAACGUCUUAAUCUUAUGACUAAGCAUAAUAUUGAUAAAAGACAAUUUUCAUUGACGGUGCCGCACUUUCUUAAUCUUAGUAUUCGCAAAAUAUUUGUUCACAUGACUGAAGAAUAUCAAGUCCAAUUGAUUGAGGACUUGGGAAAAUUUGAUCAAUUAGUUAUUAAUAUUUAGUCAAGUGGACUAGUUAUAAUUUUUUGAUUAAAUUUUAUUAGAAGUGUUUUUUGAUUCAAACUUGUGGUAACUUUUUAAAAUUUCGUUAUUCAAUAAUAUUUAACUAUUGAUUUUUUCUUGUAAAUGGUUAGAAGUCAAUGAUGUUUGUUAAUUUUUAUCUUAGUGUAUUUAACUUCUAAGUUAAUAUUUACUCAUUAAUGUAUGUUUUUUUUCUACUUUAUAGGUUAUUUGUAAGAGUAGUUGAGAGAUAUGAGCAUAUCAAGUACAAUUUAUGUUCAAUUUUUUAAUUAAAUUAAAGUUAGUAUGAAACAAUUACUUUAAGUGAAGACAAAUAACUUCGUAAUAAUUUAUUAUGCGAUUUUAUAAUUUUUGUAUAUUUGAUAAGAUUGAAUAAACAAUUGUGACUAUUUUAAUAGUUUUACAACUUAUGGGAUUUUUAUGUUUAUGAGAAAAUAUACAAAAUAAAAAUUCCAUAUCGCAUGUCCAAACAAAUCUUCAAUUUCAUCUCAUAAUUCCAUAUCAUGAUACCAUAUCGCAUGGCCAAACGGACCCUAAGUAUCUAUAGGGAAUCAAAAAUAAUUGAAAAUUACUUACAAAAUUUAUGAUUUGUACAAGUAGUUUUAUUUUAUUUGUUUGAGUAAUUUUUUAAAUUUUAUAUAUGAAAAAAAGGGGCCAGUACAAUCAUGUAUUCUCCUCCACGUGUUGUAACAUUAGUGGAUUUCUUUCAACGUAGAGACAAAACCCAGCAAAAUAACAUCUACUCACAAAAGAUGAUGAAGAAGAGGGAAUGAAAGGGACAAAUCUCCUCUCUUCCUCUUCCUGAUGCGUGUACUAUACUUUUUCUUUUAUUUUAAAAAAAUUUCACAUAACACUUUACAAGGACAAAACAUUCAACAUUGAUAUAUUAAAUAAAUUAUUAAUAUUAAUUAAAGUUAAACAUUAAAGAAUCACUAUCCUAGAAAAAUAAUUUUUUUAUAUAAAAUAAAUUUAAACUGUUUUUUUUUUCUUAUCGCACUCCAUCAAUUUCUCUCACCGUNNNNNNNNNNNNNNNNNNNNNNCACAAUUUUCUCCCCCCUCCCCCCCCCCCCCCCCCACAUCAAUUUUUUAGAUUUUUUUAAAAAAAAAAUAUUUUACAAAAGUUUUUUAAAAAAUAUUAUAUUUUGUUAUAUAUAUAUAUAUAUAUAUAUAUGUGNNNNNNNNNNNNNNNNNNNNNNNNNNNNNNNNNNNNNNNNNNNNNNNNNNNNNNNNNNNNNNNNNNNNNNNNAUAAAUAAAUGAAUUAGGAGCAAAGGAUUAGACGGUGUGUGAUAGAAUUUUAUUUUUAAUUUAAAAAAUAAAAUAAAAAUGACAUAAAUUUUUUUUAGAAAAGAGUGACUGCUGAGUGGGGGUGGGGGAGGGGGGUGAAGUAUGAUUUUUUAAAAGAAAUUUUAAAAAAUUAAAGGAUAAUAGGAAGGGGGGACGGGGGGAAGGAGGUGGUGGAGUAGGGUGAAAAAAGUAUUUUUAAAUUUUAUUUUUUAAAAAAAUAAUUUCUAUUUUUGGGGAUAGUAAUACUUUAAUUUUUUACUAUAUUAAUAGUUUAUUUAAUUCUUGUCAUGGUGAAAUAUUUUAUCCAUGUAGCAAAGUUUUUUCAAAUACACACAUCAUUGGGGUGUGUUUUUCAAACUAAUAAAUGAUAGUUUAGAUAUAAAACUCACUCACAAUAGUUUAGGUAUGAAACACAAUAAAAGGAGAUAAUUUAAGUGUGUUUUUUAUACUUAUCUCAAUUACUAGUUUCUGGAUGUCUCAUGCAAAAUUUUAUAAAUUCGUUAGUACGAUUAAAAUUCAAUGAAAACUUGUAUGUAAUAAGUACUACAAUGCAACAAUCUCAAAUAAAUGUUAUGAUGAUAAAAAUUUUUAUAGAAAAUUAAUAGAGAAAAAAUAUAAGAAAUAAACAUAGAAGAAGAAAAAUAGCAUACGCAUCUUUCAUAAGACUUUAAGCAUAACAAUAUAUAAAUGGAAAAAGAAAUACAAAAUUGGUACAUAAUUUUUGGAGUUUUUGUCGACAUCUUCUCUCAUAUCCAAUCAAAUUUAAAAGUCUUCUCCAUCGACUCAAACUAAAGCACGAAUCAAAUAGAAAAAUCACUUGAUUUUCGUAAAGUGUAUAUAAUCAGACUAAGGUAGAUAUACCAUAUACUUUAGAUGUUGAUGGCUUCACUACUUUAACUAUAAAAUGAAAAGGAUAAUUUUGAAUGUGAGUUUCAUGAAACAGAAAAAAAUAAAUCUAUAUAGAUAAAAAUAGAGGAAUAUCAAAAGACAAUCUUAAAGUUUUAAAAUAAAUAUUUUAAGGUUAUGAAUAUGAAAAGCAUGAAAAUUAUGGAUAUUAAGCAUGACAAUUGAAUAGGUAAUUUGUAACAUCCGACAAUUUAAUAGAAAGAUGAAGAAGCUUGAAAUUUGAAAUAGUCAUUUUUUUGGAAAAAUAUAUGAUGUUUCAAAAAUCUGGAAAAUUUGGCUAAGUGUGGAAAUCAGUGAUUUUUGGCCAACUUUGAGCAGUCAUAACUUCCAGCUCACGAUGAGUUAGAAGUAGUUCCAGUCAUGGUUGUGAAGCUUGUGGAAUGAUCUUUCCAACGCCGCCGAGUUUGCUCAAUUCCAAGUUCGUAUGAGCGAGUUAUGGCCCUUUGAAAGUUGGGCAGUUGACAAGGAAAUCUGUCCGGGAAUCAUUAAGGGCAUUUUGGUCUUUUCCCUAGCUAUUUCUUUUGGGGAUGUAUUGUUGUGUUAGGCUGAUAUUUGGACCAUUUUGUUCCAUUUUAAGAGAUUGAAGGCUAGGGCUUGAGAAGAAGAAGAGAAGAAGAGAAGAAGAGGAGAAGAAGAAGAGGAGUAAUCGAGGAGAUCAACAAGUUUCCGACAAGAUCAUCGUGGAUUUUCGUCGGGGGUGAUCCCUACCAAGGUAUGUGAGCUUUUAGUGUUGGGUGAUCCUUCCCCCCACACACCUAGCCCUUUUUAUGUAUUGAGGAAGGAUUGGAUUCGUUGUUGAAGUUGUUGGAAUUGUUGUUAAGGUUGUUAGUUGUUGAAGUUGAUAGUUGUAUUGUUUGGUUGGUGUUUGAGUCGUAAUCUAUGGUAUGUUGAGGGAUUUUUUGUGCUUCCAAGUGUAUGGGCUGAAACCUUGUUUUGGGAGAGUUUAGAGCUAGAGAAAAGGAGGACCCCAAAAUAGUCAGCUUCUCAGAAGAAAUCGAUGGACUAGAGGUACGGUCCGUAGAUCGAUCUACGGACCGUCGAUCCCCUCCGUGGCUCCACACUUAGAAUCUUCAAAAAUUCAGGUACUGGAACCCACACAGUAUCACUCUACGGACCAAUAGUACGGUCCGUAGAUCAAUCUACGGACCGUCAAUGGACACCGUGGUUCCACACUUGGUCAGAUUUCCCUGAAUUGUCCUCAAUACCUUGCCUGUUGAUCUACGGUCAUGACCUACGGACCGUGAAUGGACCUACGGUCCGUAGAUCACCUCCGUCAAUGCCAUGUUUUUACAUUUCUAAUUGUACCUAUGUUUCUAAGUUGGUUCCAACACUUCAAGUUGCGUUUAAAUGUCUAGAACUCAUUCAUAACAAGUGAUUAUAUCCCUUGAAUCCAUAAUUCAAUUCAAGGAGAGUGAGAAGUCAAGUGAAGUUAGAAGUNNNNNNNNNNNNNNNNNNNNNNNNNNNNNNNNNNNNNNNNNNNNNNNNNNNNNNNNNNNNNNNNNNNNNNNNNNNNNNNNNNNNNNNNNNNNNNNNNNNNNNNNNNNNNNNNNNNNNNNNNNNNNNNNNNGUUGCAAGUCAAGUAAAGAGUUUAAAGUUGAGUUCAUUUCUCAAAGUUAUUAGGGAACUGUGUAUUCCCAAAGAAGUUUUUAAAGAAAUGUUUUUACAUUUAAACAAGGUUGGAAACUAAGAUUUCCAAAGGAGCCUUCGGGCCAGUUUUUAAGANNNNNNNNNNNNNNNNNNNNNNNNNNNNNNNNNNNNNNNNNNNNNNNNNNNNNNNNNNNNNNNNNNNNNNNNNNNNNNNNNNNNNNNNNNNNNNNNNNNNNNNNNNNNNNNNNNNNNNNNNNNNNNNNNNNNNNNNNNNNNNNNNNNNNNNNNNNNNNNNNNNNNNNNNNNNNNNNNNNNNNNNNNNNNNNNNNNNNNNNNNNNNNNNNNNNNNNNNNNNNNNNNNNNNNNNNNNNNNNNNNNNNNNNNNNNNNNNNNNNNNNNNNNNNNNNNNNNNNNNNNNNNNNNNNNNNNNNNNNNNNNNNNNNNNNNNNNNNNNNNNNNNNNNNNNNNNNNNNNNNNNNNNNNNNNNNNNNNNNNNNNNNNNNNNNNNNNNNNNNNNNNNNNNNNNNNNNNNNNNNNNNNNNNNNNNNNNNNNNNNNNNNNNNNNNNNNNNNNNNNNNNNNNNNNNNNNNNNNNNNNNNNNNNNNNNNNNNNNNNNNNNNNNNNNNNNNNNNNNNNNNNNNNNNNNNNNNNNNNNNNNNNNNNNNNNNNNNNNNNNNNNNNNNNNNNNNNNNNNNNNNNNNNNNNNNNNNNNNNNNNNNNNNNNNNNNNNNNNNNNNNUUAUGAUGCAGAUACAGGUACCCCGGAUCAGCAUCCUGCACGUCGUUGAUCCAGCUGAGCACUCCAGAGUCUGUGGUGAGCCUCCUUGCAUUCCGGAGGACUCAAUUAUUUUGUGUACUUAGUUUUGUUCUAUUAGGAUGUUGCGGGGUCUGUCCCCACAUCCAUCUCAGUACAUUAGAGGCUUUAUAAACAGUCAGACAGUCAGUCAGUCAGUAGUUUUGAGUCUCUCAUCCAUGUGUAUGUAUGUAUAUGUAAAUAUUCUAUUUUGAGACUCGAGUUGCCCUUUGGGCCAUAUUUUUAUCAGUUAAGUUGUUUAUGUCUUUGCAUGGCAUUGAGUUAUUCUGUUGAGUCAGGUUUUCCGCUGAGUUAAGAAAGUCAGGCCAAGGGUUCGCUUGGGGCCAACAAUGGUCUCCGAGUGCCGGUCCCGCCCAGGGUGUAGGUUCGGGGCGUGACAUAAUUAGAUAUAAGUUAUGGAGACAAAUAUUUAAAACACAUAAAGAAGAAAAAUAAUUAAAAAUUGUAGAUAAGAAAAAGAAGUGCAAAUAAUAUUUAAGUGAAACACCACUAAUAGUGGAAUUUCAAAGGGUCAAAAUAGAUAAAAGAGAACAACUUUAAGAAUAUUAAAUAUAUGCAUUGAAGCUCCAUUAAAAUCUAGAAGAGUAAACAAUCCUCCUUUGAGCACAUGAACUCUCCAUUUACUCAAUGUAGUAAUUGAUUAUCACUAAUAUUUAAACAUGUAAUUAAAUUUAUAAUAUUUUAAAUUAGUGUUGGCGUAAAAUGGUAUUUCAACUUUUAACUUUUUUUUGUUCCCACUUUUAGUAAUACUAGUUCUGAAAACGUGCGCUGCACGUUUAUACCAAAAUACUUCAUAUAAAUUUUGAUUGCAAAUAACAUAUUUUAUGCCCUUCAAAUCUAUUCAUAUUUCCUAAAAAAAAUCAUAAUUUUUACAAUAGAAAAUACACAUAUUUUCCUAAUAAAAAGAAUAUAUCCUUAAUUAUAAAAUUGACUAAAAGUGCAUACAGUAAAAAUAACUAACUAUUGUAUAAAUACAAUAUUCAAAUGAGGAUUCUAAAAUACCACAUACUAGGUUAAUGUAUACAAAGCAAUAAAACUUAAGCAUAGAGAUUUUCUCUUCUUUUUUUUUCAUUAAUUCCUUCUUUCGUUUAUUUGACUGUAGGAGACUUUAUUCUUUAUGACUUUGUAUAUGUGUAUCCUUCAUUGUAUUUUUCAGGUGUUAGAUGAAGGGAUUAUAGGAAAUUAAAAGGAAAAACAAUCACCAAGUGAUGAACGGGGGUAUAUAGAUUCAGAGGAUAAGUUAGGAUUUCCUUUCAAGUAUGAAAAUAAAUUAUGAAUCAAUGGAACUUAUUUCAAUAUUAACUUAUUUAAUCUCCUGUUAUUCCUCAAUAGCUCAAUGAUAGAUCGAUUGAUUGUUAACUAAUUGUUCUUACAUAGAUCCAAAUACUAUAUGGCACAAGGUGUUGUCUAGUACAUAGAGAUGGGUGAGGAGAUCAAACAAUAAUUAGAGUUGGUAACGAGCACAAACAGGAAUGUGUAUUAUAUGAGUUCUGAAUGCAUUAUUAAUUUAUUAAUUAAUGGUAUUGGUAGGUAAACAACAAUUAGUGCUUUAUUAAUUAAUGAUAGUGCUUCAUUCCUAUUGGAUGCUUUAGUAAAAACGACAUCGAUUUUAUUCUAGUUUUUGAUGUCUUAUUCCAUAAAUAUAUUUAAAAAAGACCCACGAUGUAGAUGUAGUCAUUUUCUUUAAAAUAAAAAAGAAACUCCUAUCAAAUGUGUGACACUAAUGAUGUAGGCAAAGAAAAAGAUUAACAACCAUUUAGGCUGGCAAUCAUUUUUGUCGAAUCACACAUCGGAAUAGCCCAAAUAGGAGAGAAACGUAAAAAAAAGAUGAAGUUACAAUUAAUACAUAACACAGAUUCACUAUACUUUUGAGCUCGAUGAUGGCUUAUCCCUAAAUGGCUCUGACUAAAUGGACAUGCAAUUUUGAUUUCUUAAAUUGUAUUUUUCUCCCUCGUAAACAUGAAAAAUUCACUAGUUGUGAAAAGCAUUAUAUUUCCCCAAUUCUUAUGUAAUCUUACCAAAUGAGCAAACCAUUAAUCAUAUACAAGAUAUUGGAAUAUCCUAAAAGUGAUGCAUUGAUGAAUCACACAUAUCUUCACGUUCCUUUUAAAAAUAAACUAGCUUUUGGCACGUGUGUUGUACGUGUGUCCCAUGUAAUUAUUUAUAGAUUUAUUUAAAUUAUGAAAACAUGUAUGUAAUGAGCAAUAAAAUGCAACAAUUAUAAAUAAUUCUUAAAAGUGUGGGGCAAGAAACACCAAUGAAGAUAGAAUUGUAAUGAGCAAUAAAUGUACUAAUACGAUGAUUUACUAUUCAAUAUUUAAUUUAUUAAAUAGUUUAUAGCAUUUAAAUUUAGUGUAGGGAUAGAAGUGUAAUGUAACUUUUGUCUAACAUUCUUCCACUUUUAGUAUUGUAAUGCUUUAUAGCCUCAUUUUUUAUGGUUUUUUUUCUUUGACCUUCUUUGUUUAGUAAUUAUAUGGUAUUUUGUUUGUAUAAACAAACAUUUAGUAUAAUAUUAUCAAGGAGAUUAAUUUGAAUAUAUUUCAUAAAAACAAAAAAAAAAAACUCAUCGAAAAAAAUUAUAAUGUGUUUUUUUUGUUAAAAAAAAAAAUGGUUUAUAUUAUUUUAUUUAUUUUUUCAUUUAAAAAUAACUACUCUACUGUUGACAAAAUAUAUCAACAUCCAAAAAUAGCGACCGAAGUGCAAAAAAUGUCACAUAAUAAACAUUCACAAAAAUGACCAAAAAAACAAGCAUAAUAUUAAUAAAGAAUAAAAGAAAAGGAGUAAUUUUCCAUUUGCUGCUCAAGAAAGCGAGAGGCGCAAGGUGAAAGAGAGGAUGCACAUUUUCAAAAUAAGACCUCUUGCACGGUGAGUCUCUUUUAGAGACACCAAAUAGCUCCGGAAGUGUUCAUGCAAAUAAAAAGAGGGUAAAAAAAAAGUUUGUAAGACGAAUCGACCUUAAACUAUAUCGUAUAAAAGAAACAUAAAAUCAAGUUAAGUCGUAGGACGAAUAUACUGUCCAAAACACGAAGGCAUGCAAAUGCCGAACGGAGCUCAAAGCAAACUACUACAAUGUAUUUAAAGUGCAAAAAAAAUAACACUCAAGUCCCCUCAUAUUUAAGUUACAAAGGUAUUAUACAUAUUAUCACUUUAAAUCGAGAAUAGAAACAUUCUCUAAAUGAUUCAACUAGCUGGAAAGACAUAGACUUAAAAACUAGUAUUUAAAUCAAGAGAAAAGCUUCAAACAAUACGCCUACAAUUAUUUAAAAAAGCACAAAACACCUGCACAAAACUUCAUACUAAGUAAAAACAAUAAUAACCUACUUUAAACAAGUUUCUACAUUAGAAAACAUGAGCUGCACAUUUCUCCUCAUACAAAGGCACCACAUGAACAGUGACAAGCUGAUUUCAAGUGAAGAUUUAAUCAUAAAAAAACGAAACGAUUUCUCAAAUAAAUGACGGCUGAAAUGUGAAAGAAAAUAUAGCUUCAGAUCUCGCACGAGAACCAAGUAUAUAUUAUAGUCACAUACACAGAGCUAAUUAGUAAGUAACGCUAAUCGCUGUGAUCUUCUAAAGAUAAAAGAAUUACACUAUAUAGUGGCGGAGUCAGGAUUAACAUUAAGGGGUGUCAAAAUACAAAGUACUAAGUACACAUAAAAAUCAAUAAAAUAAAUUUUAUUAAUGAUUAAAUACAAAAUAUGAACUUAUAAUUGAUUUAAUAAAUGCAAAACUUGAAAUAAGGUGAAAACAAUCGAUUAAUUAAGAAAAGAGGUGUAAGAAGUGAUAAUAGUAAUUUCGAUAAUAGAACAUAUAAUUUUAGUAGUAACUAUAGAAAUAUAACCACGACGAUAAUAAUAUUAAUAAUAAAUAGUCGUAGCAGUUAGAAUAGUUGUGAAAAAGAUAAUUUUAUACAUUAUUAAUUUGGAAGCUCGAAAACAAUGAAUUAGAGGAAAGGAGGGUCAAAAUUGAGCGUCAACCGUAAUUAUUUGGUAUUUUCUUUGUAUAAACAAAUAUUUAGUAUAAUAUUAUCAAGGAGAUAAAUUUGAAUACAUUUCAUUAAAAAAAUCUCAUCCAAAAAAAUUAUAAUGUGUUUUUUAAAAAAAAAUAAAAAAUAUAUGGUUUGUAUUACCAGAAGACGGCAUUCUAAGGCUAUAUAAAGCCCUUAUCCAAGAAAUGAGCUAUCUUGCUUAGCAUACCUCACCCAAAGCUAUUUGAAGUAAGGGAUUCACCUGCUUGCCUUAGACAGAGCUUUGUAUAGCCUAGCGCUUCGCGCCUUCACUUAUGAACUAGAACCAUCCCACAAAUCAUCUUUCAAAACCUGACUUGAAACUCUUUCUCGCCUAACUAAGCGUCAGUAACGUAACUGGAAAAAUUACAGAAAUCCCACCUUUUAGUUUACUUUUUACCAUUAUCCCCUAUAAGUUUUACAAAUCUCCAAAAUCCCUCAUUUUCGCGCAUCAGAUUAGUGUAUCAUGUAUAAAAUGUAAUGUAUCUUACUUAAUGAUUAAUGUAUCUCGCGCAUCAGAUUAAUGUAUCAACGCUUAUAUUAUUGUAUCCGUUUGAGGGAUUUCUGUAAUUAUAAACUUUUAAGGGUAUAAAUUGUAAUUUGUCCUUAAAAGUAUGUGAUUUCUGUAAUUUGCCCUUAUUUUAUUUAUUUUCUCAUUUUAAAAGGUGAGACUGCUUACGAAAAAUUAUGACUUUUAGAUAGUGCAAUCAGAAAGCAUAUGAGUGAAUGUUGCAAGAAUGAUGAAACAGAGCUGCAACCAAAUUCAUUUUUACAAAAUGGUGACUCUUCUUUUUCCUCCUAAUUGAUGUUCAUCAUCAGAAAUAAAUGUUAUGUAUAUUGUAACAACAGUCUUUUCAACUUUAGAUUAAUUGAUAAUUGCUCAAUAGAUGAAGUUUAAUAAGAAUAUAUUAAUAUCAGGUAAAUAAUGAAAGAUACUUAACUAUAUUACUCUUAUUAUUUACCAUAGACGUUUCUGUUCACUGCACAUUAACAAAACAAAAACAAGCCUUAAUUUCUAGCUCUAAAUAUAAGCUUAAAGGAUAAAAUGGUAAUUUAACUUUGUACUUUAGAGCUUCCCACUUUUAAUAAUAACUAGUUUUUGAGUACGUGCGUCGUGCGUAUAGCCAAGUGUACCUAUUACUAUAAACUUAUAGUAUAUGACAAUCGUGCUCCACAUAAGUCUUUAGACAUCUUAUUAUAAUGUUUGACUUGUAAAUGUUAAGUAUUUAUAAGAUUUAUGUUUCACUAAAAAGUAUAAAUGAUGGUGGAUAUAGGAAGAAUUCUUAUCAAUUAGUGUUACACAUAUAAUUGUUAGAGUAAGAGUGUUUGUUUGAAAAUUAAAAUAGUUAUCUAAUUUUAUAUGGAUCAUUGAUAAUGAACUUUAUACAUUUAGAUCUCUUUAUUAUUAAUUAAAGAGGCAAUAUACUAAUUCAUGAGAUGAUGAACUAAUUAUAAAUGCAUGUAUAGUCAUUCAACAUAUCUGCCAAAUAUUUUAUAUAUUCAUGUAAAACACAAAUGAUCUGACAUAUAAUAAAAUAUCUAAUCUUUCAUUGAGAUAAUUUUUAAUUUCAUUUGAAAAUAAGGAGUAUAAUAUUGUACAUGUUCCACGCCAAUAAUUAUACAAAGUCUAAAUAAGUAAUAUCUAUUUAAUUGUAAUCUAGACACAAAUUUCUUUAUAUAAGCAGAGAACAUAUUUAACCAAAAUGGAUAAUAAGAAAAGAAUACAUUAUAAAAGAACAUUUAAAACUAAUUCAAAAAUCACUUACAAAUGGUCAUCACUAUAAGCACUUUACAUAAAAUAGUACAACCAAUUCAUUAUUUUGUUGUAAUUCAUACAACAUGAUAAAAAAAAAAGUACCAUUUCCUUCCAAACAUUCUUUACAAUUGAUCAAUCAAUCGAUCAUAACGUCUUUGAUCCAAAUACACCAAUAAUGAUAUCACCCUUAACAGUUCUACAAAGAUUGAUGACAACUUUUCUUCUGUGGUCUAUGACUAUGACCAGAAAGGAAAUCAAACAAGAAGAAAGAAAUGAUAUACCAAAGAUGAGAAAAUGGAUCUUAAUUUAUAAGAGAAUUGACAUUAACAUACUUUAGUAAGAAGAUCACAUAUGAGAUUUGUAAAUUCAUUUCUCUUUCUAGGUGACUUUAAAUAGGAAAACCUUAGGUGAGGGUGAUACAAGGAAAAAAUUAAAAGAGGCUAUCAAUUUCCUACUUAAUUAUAUAACCUUUGUUCUUCACUUGUAAUUCACUGAACAAUAUAAUUAGGAGUCUUUUUGUCUUCUUGAUAAUAAUUACUUAUGACAAUUUAAUAUUAAUUCACGAUACAACAUGAAUAAAUUGUAACCAAAAGAAUUUGAUAAAUUUGAUAUUGCUUAAUGUGUAACUCUCCCUUGUAGUAAUUAAAAUUCACUAUUUAAUAUUUAAUUAACAAUUUAUUAGAUGAUUAAUAAUAUUUGUAUUUGUAUUUGAUAAAGGGACAAAAUGGUAAUCUAACUUUUGUCUAACAUUCUUCACACUUUUAGUAUAGAAUAGAAUGACCAUUAAGAUACAUUUACGGAAAUUUGGUCUACAUAGAACAAUUUUCGCAACUUUUUCAAUUGUCCAUAAUUUGAUCAUCAUGACUAAAUAAAAUUGAUGAUUGAUGCCUAUUCAUUUAAUAUUAAAAAAGUAUCAUAAACCCAAUAAACAACUCUAUAAAAAGUACAGAAAUUUUAUUAUUUAUUUAACUAUAUAUUUUAUUAAUGAUAUUAUUGUAGUAACUCAACUUUAUAGGGUUAUUUUGGUAUUUCAACUUUUAACUUUUUUUGUUUCCACUUAUAGUAAUACUAUUGUUUGGGAAACGAGUGUUGCACGUUUGUCCCAAAAAAUUUCAUAUAAAUUUUGUAUUGCAAAUGACAUAUUUUCUCCGCUUCAAAUUUAUUGGUAUUUACUAUAAACAAUCCACCGUUUUUACAAUAAAAAGUACAUAUAUCUUCCUAAUAAAAAGAAUGCAUCCUUGAUUAUAAAAUUGACUAAAAGUGCAUAAAUUAAAAAUAACUAAUUAUUGUACAAAUACAAUAUUUAAAUAAGUAUACUAAAAUACCACAUGCUAGGUUAAUGUAUACAAAGCAACAAACCACAGUAAAUUCUCAAUAUUACUAAUAACAAUAAAAACUUAUACAAUAAUAGCAAACAAGAAGCAUAAACAUUAAAAAAAACAAAUAAAAAGAGACAAGUGAAGUGCAUAGAGAUUUUCUCUUCUUCUUUUUUUCCAACUAUUUUAAGUGUGUGUACAAUAUUGUGUCAAAUGUCACUAUUUAUAGGAUAAGAUUGAAGAACACUUAGAGUUGUUAUGAAUAUGACAUUAAUCCAUUUGAACAUGGAUAAGAGGUGGGAGUAAAAAACACAAUGAAUAUAAUUAGUGGGAGUUGCAUAUAUUUACAUAAUGAAGAGUUAGAGGUAAUAAAAUCUAUGUAAUGUACUUCACAUUAAUGCAAAUAUUUACAUACAAAAAAGAAUAUACUAUAGAUCUAUAUGAUUUUUCUUCUUUUUGUUAAGGGCAAACAUAACCAUUCAUAUUUCUAAUUGGAAGAUGAAAAAAUAGAAAAAUUCAUGAAUUUAACUCAACAUGAAAUUAAUAAAAAAAAUACAUAUUCAAGAAACUUUAUGGUGGUUGAUUCAUGUACUAAUAUGAUGAUUUACUAUUCAAUAUUUAAUUUAUUAAAUAGUUUAUAACAUUUAAAUUUAAUGUAGUGAUAGAAUUGUAAUCUAACUUUUGCCUAACAUUCUUCCCACUUUUAGUGUAUACUAGUUCCGGGAACGUGUGUUGCCUGUUUGUCCCCUAAUUGACACUAGAAAAAUUAAUUUAUAUAAUCAUAGUGGAGCGUACAUAAAUUCAUCAUUAAGUUCAAAGCUAAGUCCUUUUGUAUGUAAGUUUGAAAUAAGAAUAUAACUCUUCACAAAAUAUAGCAUGGAAAUCUUGUGUCAGAUGUUGGAGGUUUGGUAUUUUCAAUGCUUCAUGAAAAAUAAACCUUUUUAUUAUAUCAGAGGAAUUAAUAUAUUUUAAUUACUAAACGUAAGUUUUAAUAAUCAAAAAAGAAAUUGGCUAUAAAAAGGAUACGUAUAAAGAAAAAUAUUACAAAAUGUCUAGGUUGUGUAACAUCAAAUUUAUAGAAAAAAUUACAAGUUCAAACGGAAAAGAAAGAAAAGUAAAUAAAAACAUGGCAUCCAUAAUAAAAGACAUCACAUUAAAAUAUAUAGACAAAAGUAUUGUCAUAUUGACUGAAUUACAUUUUGUUAGAAGUCGAUAUUGAUUGAAUUACAUGUUGUUAGAAGUUGACUUGCUAUAGAUAAAAUGUUUCCUAUGUAUAAAAAAAACUAAAAUCAUAAAAUAAAAUAAAAAACAGAAAAGAAAGCAAGAAUAUAUAAAAAAUACAGAUACACUAUAUUUCUUGAACUAUAUAUUAAAGGAUCUAUAUAUAAAAAAUUAUGUAUGAAUUCUAAUACAAUAAAAUUUAAUGUAACAUUUAGUCAUAUUUUUACUUUACAUUAAUUUUUAUUUUAUUUUUACUUUUGCACUAAUUCUUGUAUGUAAUAGUUAAGUGCAUGAAUUUUCUAAACAUUUGAGAUUACAUUUAAAAAGGAAAAAAAUACAAAUAUGUUGUUUUAAAAAGAUAAAUGAUUAUCAAAUAACGAAGAUGGCAUAACUAUUAAUGUUUAUCAAAGACUUACUCUUUUACGGGUCUAAUUGUGAAAAUAUUCUAUGGAAUUUAACAUGCUUACCCUCAAAAUAAUUAAUUGUAAAUAUAAAUUAGGAUUAGCUUUAUUAUAUUUCUAUCCUAAAGAAAGAAUACAAAAAUAUAGAACUAAUAUGCAUGAAAUUUUACAAAAAGAAGAUUAAUAUAUGCAUGAAAUUUUAAAGAAUACUAAUAAAAAAAUCAAUAAGAAUUCUUAUAAUUAUAAAUUGGUAAUGAAAUUUUACAACUGAUGAAGACUAACCUAAUAUAGAAUGCAAGAUGAUCACAAACUUGAAUGAAAGAAGGGAAUAUAAAUAAUGUUGUGUGAGUGUCUUUGAUAGACUCUUCAUUAACCCGCAUUUAAUUAGUACAUGAAUAUAUGAUUGCUUUAAGAUCUUAUUUGAUGCAUGAAUUUAUAUAUAACUAUUACUUAAUAUUUAAUUUAUUUUAGGGUAAAAUAAGGGCAAAUGAUAAUCCAACUUUGAGGUUAGGAGCUUCCCACUUAGAAUAAGCAGAUGUACAUUACAGAAGCUAUCAACUAGGCAAUGAUGCAGGAGCUAAGUAUUAAAGUUCAAAAUGUUUGCUGGAAAAAUGAACUCUAUUUGUACAAAUCUUAGUCAUACAAGUAAAUAGUAUUUCCACUCCAAUUUCCGCCACAUGCAAUUUCCCUUGCCAAUCAUGACACUCAAACACAUCUAACACAAGUAGCAUUUCGACGAGGCCCAUGCUGGUGUUUCAAACAUGAAUCUGAAACACUUGAAAUGGUAAAAAGUCAGUUUUGGCACACGUUUCCUCCUUGGAGAAUGGAGAAGCGGAUCAUUGCAAGUAACCACUAAAAAGGGAGAAAGGAAAACCUGUUUAAGAUGAAUAUAUAUACUGCUAAGGACAUUUUAAGAGCCAAUGGGUCACUCUUUGCAAAAAUAUUCAUGACAACUAUCUUUGUUAAAGUCCUUCAUUAGCGGAAGUUUUAAUGAACGGAGAAAUUGUCUUGUGAGGUGAAAGUAACGACAAGUGUGCCAUAUAUUCAUAAAAGUUGUACCGUCUAAAGCAUGAAAAUAAAACCAGAAUUGCAGAAGACAUAAAGAUUAUUCUCUUAUGAAUCUAUUAAGAAACUUAUUUACAUUUCUACCAUAUAUGAGACUUGGUAUUGUUCCUUGAGAGUUAUCAAUUUACUAAGAAAAAGUAAACGAGAUAAUUUGAAAGUAGCAUUUCGGGGAAAAGAAAAACCAUUUCAGAGAAAAAACAUUGAUCUAAAAAGCCAUCAUUUGCAAUCUUUUUAUGGACAGUAGCUAACUUACCUCGAACUUUCAAGCUUCGUGCAACUAGAGUCACCACUGAAGCAAAAUGCUCCAAUCUGUCCCCUGAAUAGUAAACAGGAAAAAGGAAAUAAUAUUGAAGACAGUCAACGGAAACUGAAGAAGCUUCUACUAUCAGUAGAAGUCACAUUUCGGCCCAAAAGGAAAUAUGUCCUGCAUCAAAGCUUAUGCAAGUGGCUUUCUGUGAGAAUUAUUUGAGGUGCAAGUCAUGAAUACCUCAUAAGCAUUAAGCAGAUUUCAGUGGCACCGACCAUCCAUUUCUUCCAUUAUCUCCAUCAUAGCACCUGACUAGAUAUGACAAAUACUGAAAUUCUUCUUAUUUCGUACCAGUUGGGAGAGGGGAUGGUCAAAAUAAUAUUAAAAUUGUUUCAUGAGAGAAAAGGAAUGUAAAAAAGAACUUUACAAACUUGUUAUUGCAUUCCUCUUAACAACUAAAUAAAAAUGCCUAACAUGAUUCAGCCCAUAGAUUUUGACUUGAUAUACCACAACGACCUUCUACGAUGACCUUGUACCUAGUAACCUAUGAGCAGAAUCAUAAAUUUUCAUGAUUAAACUUUUCUUUUAGGAAGGUAAUGUUGUAUUCAUCAGCAUAGACCUCUGAAAAUUGGUUUCCAACAAAUAGAAAGAUAGAAACUAGUAGAUUACAAAGUGCCUGUAAAUUCUAAAUGAAAAUUUACCAAACGUAAUUGCCUGCAACUCAAGGGAUUUGGCUUGAUUUACCACAUCGACGUUCUAGCAUAACCUUUGAACUAGUAACCUAUAAGGAAAAGUCAAACAUAAAUUUCAUGAUUAAAUACUUGAAGAAUAAGAAGAAGAACAAUUCAGUUCAAGUGGACAAGCAGAAUGCUGAAAGCAUAGCACAGAUGCUUUUUUAUGUCAAAAUAAUUUCAGGAAAAAAUAUUAAAUUACUUACAGAACUUCUUUAAAGGAACUCGUGGAAAAUAAUAUUCUAAUUAAAAAUGUGACUCAGAAAGCGAAAGGGAAACCGAGACUUACGUUUUUCCUUAAUUAUCCUCCCACCUACUUUAAUUCUUGGAAUAUGGGAAAUCUUGGACCACUGGGAGUUGAUGCAACUUUCUUCUAACUUUGGGCAGCCUUCAAUUACCAGGUUCCAUAAUUUAGUGAGGCAUUGCAUGGCAUCUCGAGAUGGCAGAUGCUCUAGUUUUUCGCAGUUAUGUAAACAUAAGUCUUCCAAAGAAACAAGGUUGUUGAGCCCAUCCGUCAGAGUUUCUAACAAUGGACAAUCAUAUAUAAACAGUUCCGAUAAUUUGGGCAUGGCAUCUGAGAAGUUCAGAUGUUGUAGCCGUUACACCGCCCUAGCGAUAAUCUUUCAAGAGAAGUAAGGUUGUCAAGUCUGGGAGGAAGAGCUUCAAUUCCAAAAUCAUGUAUAUAGAUCUUUGUUAGGGCAAAGAGUUGCGUAAGCUGAUAGGGCAGAGAAUCCCAGUGCCCACGUCCGUACACCGCCAGUUCACGAAGGGACAACAACUGCUGAAUGCCAUUAAAAAUCAAUUGGAAUGCAUCAAAAUCCACCAUCUCUGAGAAAGGACCAAUUUCCAAUCCCCAUAACUCAGUGAGACCGUGAAGGCCCACUUCGGGUACACUAAUCAAUUUGGGACAUCGUGAUGUUUCCAGAUAUGAAAGUGAAGGCAUUUCCCACACAUGUAAAGGGAAUGAAACCAAGUUGUUACAGCAGCUGACACUCAAAAACUGUUGGAAUUACAGAUGAUGGAAAUCCAUUAGGGAAGAAAGAUAGCAAAGGUUUCAUUAUGAAAGAGAAGGGUGUUUCAGACAUAGUUAUUGCAAAAUUGAAAAGAGCAAAGUAAAAAUGAAGACUGAAGAAACACGUGGCCUCACAUCUGGCACCAAUCCAGAACCUUCCACAAUUUUCUGUUCUUGUGUAAAUAUUAUUUCCAUUUAUGUUUUUAUUAAUCGUAAAAAAUAGUUUGUUAUAAGUUAGCCAAUUGAGAUAGGACACCUGUUAGUCUGUUAGCAUUUUUAUUCCUUGUAUUUCCUAUAUAUACAUUUGCUAUGCAGAAAUAAGAUAUACAAAAAAUUUAGCUCAAUUGUUCUUCGUCUACUCAUUCAAAAACACUAGAGACUGGCAUUGAUCUAGCAUUCCAAUUGGUAAACUGAUCAAUCCAUCACAAUUACAUAACAGCAAUAAUUGGAGGGAAGUCAAAUAGUUGUCUCCAUUGGGAACAGGAAGAGAACUGAAAUUGGUGCAGCUGUCAAUCAUUAAUCUCUUAAGAGAAUGGAGAUUGUACAAGCUUUGUGGCAAUUCACGAAACUCUCCACAGUCGAUGACCGAUAGGUAUUGAAGAGAAACGUUGUUGCGUAGCAUCUCAUCUGGAAGACAAGUGAGCUCUUUCACAUUACUAACAUAAAGAUCCACAAGAGAUGUCAAGUUGCUGCACAAGUUCAACAAUGGCAUUUCACUGUCAACUCCUCUAAUUUCUAAUUGACGGAGGAUUUCAAAUUGAGUUGGAGUACUUUUUAACAGUGGACAGUCUGUAAUCCUCAACUUCUCAAGCCCGGGAGACAUUUUUACUCCAACUUCAUCUCCCUUCCACUCAAUAAGGCUACGCAUAUCCUCCAAUACUAGUUCUUUCAAUGACGGGAACACUUGGAUAAUGCUGCUUGAUCCAAUAUUGCUAAUCUCAACACCAUAUAAAGCAGGUCCAAUGCAUUCCAACUCAUGGAAUCCUACCAGCUCAAGAUGCUGAAGGACUUUCAGUUGGCCAAGGGAUGGAAUUUCUUUGCACCUUUUGCUACCACUUAAUUUCAACUUGACCAAAUUUGGUAGCGACUCUUCACUGAACCAUGAAGGAAAUUUAGUCCCUAAAUAGCCCACUACUGCUAAGGUUUUCAAGUUAGGAUGCGGUUGAAGACCAUCCAACACAUACUCAUCAUUGAUCUCACACCCUUCUGAUUCAUCAUGGGUCCAUAAAUAUGCCAGCUUGCAGAUAUUUGGUUUCUCCUGUAAAUAUGUUGUUCGAGCCUCUUCUUUAUCACAGAUCAAUUGGAGACCAUUGAUCGUCAAUUCACCUCUUAGGUUUUUCAAAUGACCUAAUUCUUCUAUUUGACGACCUUUCUCUAAACCAACCUUGAAAAACUGGAGGGUUUGAAGACUAGUCAAUUGCCCCAUAUUAAGUGGCAUCUGAAAAUGUUCAUUGCGAAUACACCAUCCUCCCCAGUACUGAGUUCUGUCAACAGAAGUGUAAUAUAUGUGUCUCAAACUUAUCAUAUUUCUCAUCUCAUAUGGAAGUUCCUUGAGUGAAAAGCAGUUGAUGACUCUAAAUGUUUGCAAAUUAUAGAGCUCGCAAAUGGAGUUGGGCAAGGCUGUGAUCUUAGUGUCGGAGAGAUCAAGAUAUCUCAAGUAUAUCAGCUUCCCAAUUUUGGCCGACAACUCCCUGAUUCCUGAACUGGACAAAUCUAAAACUCUCAUGAACUUAAAGCUCAACAGUAUAUCUUCCCAUAUAUAAUUGUUUCUCCAAAACAGUGUGCACAAACGUUCUGGCUCAUAUAUCUUAUCUAUUUGAUCCAUUGGUGACUCACAUCCAAAGUAUCGAACUAGAGAAAGUUUUUCUCCAUCGUCGCCCGUCGGAUCAAAUAGUUUAGAUUUUAAGAUAUCUCCAGCCAAAUCAUGCACAAGAUCGUGCAUCUUACAAUGUCUUAUAUUGUUGUGCUCAUGUAACUCAACAUCUUGUAGCAAGGAAUUUUUCAACAAGAUUUGAAAAAACCUGUGCCCAACGUCUUCCAUCACAGUGGUCUCUUGACAUGGAUGGAGAAAGCCUUCUGCCAUCCAGAGUUGGAUAAGUUGUUCCUUUUCAAACUCAAAAUCUUUUGGAAACAUUGCAAAGUAAGCAAAGCAUUUUUUCAGUUGUGGAGAUGGUAGAUAAUCAUAGCUGAGCUUUAGGAUUUUCUUUAUGCUCUUUUCUCCGUUAUCAUUUUCACCUGCAACAAGGGGGUUUCCAUCAAGAAUUGCCUGCCAUUCAUCUUUUUCCUUACUGCGUAAGAGGCCUCCCAUCACACUUGCCGCCAAUGGUAGACCUUGGCACAUUUCAACAAUCCUUUUCUCCAUGCUCACUAUUUCCUCUGGAAUUUUCCCAUCAACAAACGCUCUUUGUUUGAAAAUGGACCAACAAUGAUCUUCUGCUAAUUUUUCCAACAUAUGAGGACCUAGUACUGCUGCUACAGUGGAUGCCACCAAUUCCAUACGAGUAGUCACAAGAAUGAAGUUUCCUCGGGAUGUAUUUAUUCCUCUCAAGGUGUCCACAAACUCAUCCCACAAUGUUGGGUCAACACGCCACAAAUCAUCCAGGACAAUCAAAUACUUUCUUCCUGCCAGUUCAUCUCGGACCUUCUUGACUAUAAUAUCUCUACUCUGGACCUCAAGUUUCCUCUCAGUCAAUGCUUCGAGGAUCAGUUCAAGAAAGCUCUUAAUUUCUGACAUUUCAGGUAGACAUAACCAUACUCUCUUUUCAAAGUGCUUCUCGAUCUGUUCAUCAUUGAAAAUUCUCUUGGCCAAAGUUGUUUUCCCUAAACCCCCCAUACCCACUAUGGGAAUGGUGCACAGAACAACAUCAUCUCUAAUGUUCAACAUCUUCCUCUUUAUUUCAGCAACAUCGUUGUCUCUGCCAACAACAUCAGAAGGAACUACUAUGGAAUCUGUUUCUCGAAUUGGCAGUAUUUUCCGAGGAGGAACCAUGAGUGAUUGGAGACCAAGGUUUUUGGCUACCUUAUUGAUAGCCCUCAACUCCUCAUUAAUGUUGUUGAUUUUUCGAGACAUUUUGUUCUUAAAAGCUGAAUGAGAAAAGAAAUCACUGACCUUUCUCAUUGGAUUGUUUCUGAUCUUCACUUGUCUUUUGAGAGAUUCAUACCUGAAUUUGUCAAACACAUAUUCAGCAUUUUCAGCAGCUCUCUCAAGCCUGUUGAGCCAUAGUUUCACAGCCUGAUCGUCAACUUGUCGUCUUUCGGCAUCAUGAAUGAAAGCUUGGAUCAAGGAUACAUUUUGUGUCAGCAUUUCAAGCUCUUUGUUGCAGUCCCUUGAGCUACUGAAUUCCUCAAUAGUGAGAGAAAGCAAUUUUUCAAGCAAAACUUGAACGGUAGCACCAAUUACAGAAUCGGCCAUCGUUGCGUUUGCUCCUUCACAAAAUCUUCUUCACAAAAAUGUCUUAUUUUGCUAAAUGAAAAGAGAAUAAUUCAUACACAAUGAAUUUGAAUAAAGAUAAUAUAAUUCAUACACACAAUAAUUUGAAUAAAGAAUCACAUUUGGUAGGCCAUUGUUGCAUAUGAGCCACAAAAAGCAAGAUAAUAAUAAUUGAAUCCAAUGGCAUAAAUAUCUCUCCAACAUAAACAUGGAAUCCAAUGUCUUUAAUUUGUAUAACUCUUUCAAAAGAAGAAGUAAUUACGUGUUUCAAAUUUGAAAACAAGUGAUAAUUUUUACAGCAAUAAAGUCACUCAACUUAUUAAAUAACCUACAAAAAGUCAUAUGAUUUUACUUUGUCAUUCAUGUUGACACCCAAUUUUGACCCUCUUUUCUUCUAAUUCAUUAUUUUCGAGCUUCUAAAUUAAUAACGUAUAAAAUUAUCCUUUUUCACAACUAUUUUUACUACUACAACUAUUUAUCUUUAUAAUUAUUAUCUUUGUUGUUACAUUCUAUAGUUACUACUCAAAAUUGUAUAUUUUAUUAUUAAAAUUAUAUUAUCACCUUUUACACUUCUUUUCUUAAAUAAUUGAUUGUCGUCAUUUUGUUUCAAGUUUUGUAUUUAUUAAAUUAAUUAUCAAUUCAUAUUUUUGUAUCUAUCCUAUAUUAGCGUAGAGUUGUAAUAGUGAUACUUUAAUUUUAUAUAUUAUUAAUUGUCAUCUUAUUAUAUUAGUUAUUAAGUAAGAAGCCCAAAAUAAUUUAAUGAAGAAAGGAAGAAGCCAAUAUAUUCAGACCAAACUAACCCAUUUAUUCUAGCACACCUUGGCCCAUCUUUGGCCCAAAUGUUUCAACCAAAUUCAAGUAAGCCUAAUCCUAAACUCAUCAGCCCCCUAAUACGUUUUUCUCCCUUUUCUAUCUUUGAAAAUAUUCAAGUGCAUACCAUGGAAAAUCAGAAUAGUACACGCCAUUUUUGUGAAAAAACUCGUCUCUCUCUUCGUCUCUUGCUGUCAACUCACAUGGGGACCAGCAAUCUAUCCCCUUCUUGGUCAAAGAUAGCCGUUGGACACAAGGAGCCAAACUUUGCUUUAAAGAGAAUCAGAUUUUGUACAGAGAAAAUUGACUCUUCAGAGUUCAAAACUUUGAUUUCAAAUCUCUCUUUGACCUGCGUUUUGGAGCCAUAAAAUAUUAAAAUUUCAAACCCAAUCCAAAACCUAGUCUUCAUCUAUAAAUACAUCCUUAUAUCUUUAGCAAGGGGAGAUUUUUUUUAGCCUCCAUAGAAGCCUUGGCAUUCAUUUUUAAGAAGUUUUUCCAUUGCACCAUAGCAUUGUUUGACUACUAUUUUCUUUUCUAAAAUAUUGUCUUUGCAUCCUUCUUUAAAUCUCGAUCGAAACUCCAGUUUCAAGCUUUGCUUGAGUUCGUUAUUGUUCGAAUAUAGACAUUUGAUCGAAACAGCCCCGUUCACUGCCCUAUAGCAGCAAAAAUGGAGUCCCGAUUAAGGACUCUCGCAAAUUUAGAGUCUCAUGGACUCAACAUCAUCAUACCCGCACAUGAAGUCGAUAUCCUAGACUAUCCAAAUAGCAAGCAAAAUUCAUUUGGAGGGUCGCUUUUACUUAUUACUAUUUAGCAUUUAUUUGUUUUAACUUGCUUGUGUGUUUUGGAUAUGUGCUAAUUUCUUAUUAACUAACUUGAUAUAGUUGUUUGGGUUUGGGUAUAUCUAGUUAGAAACAAACCUUUAUAGUUACUUUAACUUUUAUAAACUUCAUUUGGCAAACUCGUUUUUAAAAAACACUUCUUUUUUUUGCACCAUUUAAACUCACUAGUUUAUUAAGUUUUGUUAAAACUUGGUAGUGCAUUUCAAAAUAAAAAAUGUUCUAUACUCCUAUUUUUCUAAAAAAACUUUUUCUAAAAGAAGCAUUUUGUCAAUCAUUGAGCUAAUGUCUUUUUUUUAAUUACUUUUUUUUAGCCAUGGAUUUGUCUAAAUUGAUCUAAAGAAAUUAAUCUUUCUUAAAUCUUUUUCAUUCUAAUAAAUUGCAAAAGCGCUUUAAAAAAUAAAAAAUGUUUUCCAACUUGGUUAUUCAAUCACUUAAUAUUUAACACUCUUAUCUUUCUCUUAAAAUUAAUUAACCUAAGUUUGGUCGGUAAUCGUAUUUUUUAACGAAUCUUAAAGGAUGCCUUAUCCCUUCCCUUUAGGAUAAUUAGAACCCUUACCUAGAAUCUUAAGUUUAGUAGACCAUUUGAUUGAAGUCACUUUAAUAUUACUUUGUUAAAUGUUUCGGUGUCCUAAUUCACCAUAACUAAUUAGGUGGCGACUUCUUAAGUUAGUUAAUAAUUUGGAAAUCACCAAUAUGUUGUACACGUUUUGACCUCGAGUUAAAAUGCGGUUUAACAAUUCACACCGUAGUUGCCUUGGGACAAACUCUCCAAUUACUUUACCAUCCCAACUGUAUGGCCUACCAUGUGUCUUAUUUUUGCUUAUGCUGCUUCCACUUCUUUGAUGCCUAGUGAGAUAUCCCAAUUCCUAGCCCCUUUAUCAAAGCCUACAUCCAACAUAUUAUCUUCCUCAUCCUCAUAAAAUAAUCACCGCCCAUAUCAUAAGCAUUAGUGGGGCUAAAUCCGGAUGCUAAGGGCCUCUGAUUCAUUCUUCUUUGUAAUCACACUUUUAGGCACAAAUUCUAAAGCUUGUGGACUUCAUUUGCUAUUCAAAAGAGAAGGUGAAACUUGCUCUUCUUCGUCAACUAAAUCAUCCCACCUAGGAGCAUUCCCAAGACCUAACUAUUAUUAGUUGACUCAAAAAAUAAAAAAAUCAUUGUUUUGUGCCCUGUGUGUAUAAGAAUUUGCAGGAUUAAUGAGUUGAAAUUAAUUUUUGGGUACAUGACUUGGACAUUACUGCUCACUAUGCUUAACAAUUUAUCUAACAAAUAUCAACUUCUCCACAAGUCCUAUGUGAUCGGCUCGGCCCGACUCAAAAGAUAUUGAGGGGUGAUCAAUCCCAGAUAAUCUGUGUGCAUAGUCACCCUCUAAACCAAUUGAGCCUCCUUAUAUGUUAGCUGUGUUUUAAGAUCUAAAACAUUAUUUUCUUUUCAGGAUAACACUCUUUCUUCUUUAAUUUUCCGAGUAAUUUUUCUUUUUUAAAAUUAUAUUGUAAUUUAGCUUUUGAUAUUUUUGGUUGCAAAAUAUAACUCUUCAAAUAAAAAGGUAAAUUGUAUUUUGGAGAGUUUUUAUACAUAUAUAUAAGAAUAUAUAAUAGUCAACUGAAAAUGUUUUAAUAUUUUAUAUACUUUUUUAGUGUUCAAAAUUGAUAAUAAUCUCUCAUUAGGUCUACGCAUCGAGUUGAUGGAGCCUAAUUCAAAUAGACUAUUUUAAUAUACUUUUUUUUUUUUUUGUGUUUUGUGUAGUCUUAGCAAAAGUUUAAAAUUAUGCAAACUGAUUAGGUAAAAAAUAUAAGUAAUAAAUAUUAGUAGUAGUAUAACUUGAAUUUAACUGCAAUUAAAUCAUGCAAAUUUAUGGUUUAAAUGAGAGCUCAAAUUAAGUUAUGAUUACUAAAUAUUGAACAUAAAAAUGAACUUUUACAUCCAAAAUAUACUAAUACUAAUAAAUUCAUAAGUAUUCUACUAAAUUAUAUUUUAUUAAGUUUAGACUUAUCCAAUUUAAAAAAUUUAUUAUCACAACACCUGUUAAAGGGUCCUGAAUUUUUAAUUAGAGUUUUCGAGUUCAAAGCUUAGGAAUUGAGAAGUUACUGAUAGGAAAUGUUUUCGGGACAAUUUCCUAAACAAUUAUAGUUUGGAGCAUAAUUAUUAUUAGUAGCUAUAAUUUGCUUAUUUAUCAUUUGUAGCUAUUUUUGGUUUAGCAGUUGUAUUUGUUCGCUUAGUAGAUCCAAGAUAGUUACAAUUGCUACCUGCGUGUAUCAGUUGUAUCUUUCCUCUCUAAUGUUGUAUCACUUGUAUUAUUUCGUUCUAUUGUAUUAAUUAUUAUCAGCUUGUAUCACUUGUAUCCAUUUGUAGUACUGUAUUAAUUAUAUCAGUUUGUAUCACUUGUAUUUAUUUGAUUUAGUUUCAGUUAUAUUCAUUCACUCUAUCAUUUCAAUUGUUAACAAUUUGUAUCAAUUGUAAUUAUUCGCUCUAAUAUCUCUUGUAUUCAUUCAUAGCUAUUGUUCAAUUGUUACCAACUUGUAUAGGUUGUAUACGCUCACUUAGUUUCGCUAUAUCAAGGCAUACAAUCACAAUAAAUUAUAUGCAUUCGAUCAAUAUAUAUAUAUUCUCUCUCAUAAAACAAAAAUACAGUGAAGAUACAUACAACAUACACUUGUGCGUCACUAUAUUUCGUUGUAUGACACUUGUAUUUUAUGAGAUUUCAUUGUGAUACACUGAAAUACAAUGAUAGAUGUAGUUAUUGUGUCCCAUAAAUGUACGUGACUCCAUAAGAAAGUAGGGAAGAAAAGUUGACGUUUUCCGAUCAGAAGGUCACCAUGACAAUACACUUGUAUCAACGGUAGAAAAAAUAUCUUUGAAAAUAUACAUCUACUCUCAAUUUCAAACGUUAUUUAAAAUUUCAGAUCGGAUACAUUUUACAGAUAUAUUCUUUACUAAUGACGAUGAUUUUGCAACAUAGAGAAACUUUACACUUUUAUAUAAGAGAAAAAAAAAGACAAUCAACCCACAAAAAAAGAAUUGGGGAUGAGCUCCCUAAUCAUUUUUCAGUGACCGGUUUGCUUUCUCAGCCGAUGAUUUUUCAUUAUAGCACCACUAUCCUCCUGUGUCCUAAUUCCUAGCCCACCCGUGUUCCGUCCAACUUAACGUAUCAUCAUUAAUAUUAUCUUGGGAAUGAGACUUUCAUCGAGAAAUCACAAUUUGCUAUAAAAUUUCAAGUAUAAUGAGUAAAAUAGUUUUCUAAGCCACAUAAUUUUUUCAAUAUUAUAUUUUAUCCCAAUGUCAUAUUAGUCAAACCAAUAACUUCAUGUGUAUAAGCCACGUGUGAAUUUCCCUAAUAACCAAAUAGAAAUAGAGUAAAAAAAUGUCUUGAAGAGUCAACAAUGGUUAGAUAUAUACAAUACAAAAUGUACAUACACUGUAAUAGAGAGCCAUUGGAUUGAGCAAUCACAAAAUCUUCUUUGGUAGAUUCAACAUCUGCUUCUUCACCAUUUUUUGGGUAAAUCUUUUUCUCAGUCAAACUUCCAAGAAUCUGAUUUACUUUUGUUGACUCUCAUAAUCUUGAUUUUUCUGAUUUCAUAAGUUUACAAUUUGGGGGUUUUGGUUCUUGACUAUCUGAUCUGAAAAAGAUUCAAUCUUUUUACUUUUUUGGACUUCUUGAAGUACCCCUUUUGAUUCAAAUUGAAUUUGGGUUUUUGGGUUGGCGUUGGAUUGAGCUUUAGAUUGGAGUUUUUUGGGGAUGUAAUGGAAGAAAACGCAGCAGCUUUUCAUACUGCUUUAAAUGCGGCGCAGGCGUUAGGAAGGGGUUUUGAUGUGAAUUAUGAUACAAGAUUGCUUUACUGUAAAGGGGUGGCUGGGUCUAGGGUUGUAGAGAUUGAUGAAGACCAUACAAGGGAUCUUUCUUUAUAUGAUAACCUAGUCUUGCCUAAUGUUUCAAGGGAUAUUAAGAACUUUCAGGAGCCCGGCGGUCGUGAUGGCUCUAGUGUUUGCAAUUAUAAUGAGGUAUGUCUGCUCUAGUUCACUGUUUUAGGGUGCUCUGUGUUUGAUUUGUUAAAUUAUAGAAUUGUUGAUUGUAUUGUUUUAUGUCAAUCUAGUGAUGCUUUCUACAAGUAUCAGGAUGUUUUUUAUAGCCGUGUAAUCCCCGAGGAUGUAGUUUGUGUUCUGUUACUAUAUGCUGUUUUUGUCUGUAGCUGGAUUGCUUCUAUCGGAAAGAACCUCUCUACUCUUGAGAGGUAGGGGUAAGGUCUGCGUACACUAUACUCUCACCAGACCCCACUUUGUGGAUUCCACUGGGUAUGGUGUGUUAUUGUUGUUGUGUAAUCCCUGAGGACCAGUUGGCACACGGUUUGAAGCUCGGUUGAUACCUUCUACCGUUCUUUACCUAAGUACCAAACAUUUGUCCUAGGUUCUCUAACUUGUGAUGUAUGUCUAACUCACACAUUAUAUGUGGGCUCAUGCCACUGAAUAAAAGCCCUGCAAGUAUCCGGAUGCUGGCUUAAGUUUUUGACAUUCUUAGUAAUAACUAUGUAUAUAAGUGCUAAUGAAAAUAAAAGGCAGGAAGGCACUCAAGGGUAUGGUCUUGUGGUCAAUGAAGUAAGUGGAGCACAGUGACGAAGCUAGAAAUUUUACGAAGGGUGUCCAAGUAUUACAUAAGCAAAAAAAAUUUCGAUGAAUGGAUGCAUUGAAAAAAUUAAAAUUGAACUACGUAAUAUUAAUAUUACUUUUUUUUACGAAUAAAUGUUCCAGAAUUUAAAAAUUCAAACUGCAUAAUAUUUGUGUUUAAUUUAAUAUAAAGGAAACAAACAAAGCAAAAAAAAAAAGGAGGGGGUGGGGGGAUUAAGCUUAAAAUGAAAUCAUUUUUAUUGUUUCAAGCUUUGAUUAAUCUAUGGUGAUGACAACAAUAACAGGACAUGAAUAAUGGAAGCAGAAUCAAACGAGGUGUUUGUUUGUUCGCUUUUAGCAGCUUUAUAGAAAUAGUUUAGAAUUUGUUUAUUAACUUUAAAUUAAAUAAUUACAUUUAAGUUUUAUUUCAAAUUUUAAUGAAAAGAAAUAAAAAGUCAAAUUCAUCGAAAAUUCAAUUAGCUACUAAACCUAGAUUUCUAAUUAAGAAUGUAAUUUAAUUAGCUUAGACAAUUAAAGAAACAAGUUAAUAACUUAGAAUAAUAAUAAAAUAGGAGUGUUCUAUUAAAAACGAUUAUGAAAUGCAGUUGUGGGGAUUCAAACCCACGCCUAGAGUGUGAGCAAGAGAGCCUCACACCGCUGGGCCGUAGCAUCUUGAUGUAUUUAGGAGGGCCAAUGUACUAGAUUUAACCGUUGCAAGUAGUAUUUUACUUAUAUAUACAGUAUAAUUUUUCGGCGAAGGGUGUCCAAUUUGACACAUUCGGGACACUGUAGCUCCGCCACUGGUGGAGCACCAUGAGAUCUCAGGUUCAAAUCCCAGUAGAGACAAAAAUGCUAGGUGAUUUUUUCUCAUUUCUUCUAGCCUUGGGUUACAGUAGCUUAUAAGACUACAAAAAUGAAGGCUAAGUUAGCGUUUACAAUAUCAAAGACGACAACUUUUGAACGACUGUAUGUUGAACUAGGGGACAAAUGUGGAGAUAAGAAAUUGUACAUGUUCGCAAAGGCAAGAGAGAUGAAGGCUAGAGACCUGGAUCAUGUGAAGUGCAUCAAGGAUAGGAAGACAAGUUGUUAGUCGAGGAGACCCUCAAUUAGCGAAGAUGGCAAGCUUACUUCCACGAAUUAUUGAAUUAAGUAGGGGACAAAGACACUGUGUUGGGAGAUUCGGAGUACUCCAAGAUUCGAGAUUUUGGGUAUUGUAGGUGUAUUAUGGUUGAGGAGGUUAAGAGUGCUAUUAAUAAGAUGAGCAAGGGAAGAGCAACCGGACGAAAUGAGAUCCCGAUAGAAUUUUGAAAGAGUGCAGAUAGGGUGGGUAUGGAGUGGUUAACUGGUUUGGUUAAUGUCAUUUUUACAACAGUUAAAAUACCCGAAAAUGGAGGUGGAGUAAAAUGGUUAUGUUGUACAAGAACAAGGGUGAUAUCCAAAACUCCAACAAUUACAGGGGUAUCAAGCUGCUAAGCCACACAAUGAAAGUUUGGGAGAGAGUAGUGAAAGUGAGUGUAAGUAGAGGUGUGUCCAUCUCCGAGAACUAGUUCGAAUUCAUGACUUGACGAUCGACUAAAAAAGCCAUCCAUCUUGUGAGGAGACUGGUAGAGAAAUAUCGAGAAAAUAAGAGGGACUUACAUAUGGUGUUCAUUGACCUUGAAAAGGCUUACUACAAAGUCUUGAGGGAAGUCCUUUGGCGAUGCCGGGAGGUUAGAGGUGUACCAAUAGCUUACAUAUAAAGUACACGUAUGAUGAAGCCAAAACUCGGGUGAGAAUGUUGGGAGGAGAUCGGACCAGCUGAGAUGGGGUUGCACUAGGGAUUAGUUCUUAGCCCGUUCCUGUUUGCCUUAGUGGUGGAUAAAUUGAUGCGGUAUAUUCAAGACGAGGUGCCUCGGUGUAUGUUAUAUGUGGAUGACAUUAUACUGAUAGAUGAGACAUGUAGUGGAGUUAAUGCUAGGUUGGAAAGGGGAAAACAAACUCUAGAGUCUAAAGGGUUCAGGUUGAGCAGGACCAAAACAGAGUAUUUGGAGUGCAAAUUCAGUGAUGCCAUCCAUGAGGCAAGCAUGUUUUGGAGUGCAAAACAGAGUAGUUCAGACUGAUGUCUUCCAUGUCUUUGUUCAUCCGUGUUCUUGAAAAGGAUCUUCAUGAAUUUAUGUUCUCUAAUGCUUGUGCAAGUUUCUCUACAUUUGGUUAAUCUUUUCUUUUCCUAAUUUUAUUUAAUAAAUAGUUUUCUUUUAUUACUUAUUCUAGUGCUGCUUUUGACUGCAGAUGGUGGAAUAUUUUAACAGAAAGGCUAGUAUUCCAGGCCAUGCUCCUCUUGGUAGCUUUAAUGUAGCGUUCAGUUUCACUGGUGCAAAGCAUUUUGAUGCUACCACUACAAAGACACUUUGUAUGGAUGGAUAUUUCAUACCACUUGCUAGGCUUCAACUUAUGAACUCACCGUUAGUAUUACAGGAAAGUGUUAAAAGAGCUGUCCCAGCAUCAUGGGACCCACCCGCAUUAGCAAGGUUAGAAUUUUUCAUUAGUUUUCUUUCGACAAGGGAAAUUUGCUUAUAUAGUUGACAUGUUAAUUAAGUUUUAGAACCUCUAUUGUUCGCUAACAAGGGUUGCUUGUCUCUUACAGCUUCAUUGAAAAUUUUGGGACUCACAUAAUUACAUCUGUAACUAUUGGUGGUAAAGAUGUAAUUUAUGUUAAACAGCACCUUUCAUCACCUCUUUCCACAAUGGAAAUAAAAAGUUAUGUUCAUGAUAUUGGAAAUCAGAGGUUCUCCAGCACAGAAAACCUUACAAGUUCAGGUUUAUUGAAAUACAAGGACAAGGCUAGUUCCGUUAUUUUCUUUGUUUUCAAACUUUAUAUUUUAUUCCUUUAUUUUGUCUGUUAUUUUUACGAAAACCGUUGUUUUAGACUGUUUCCUUUCAAAUAAAUGCUUGUCUUUUGUCUUCUGAUGUCUUCUUUAUCCACAAAUUUCCCAAUCCCUUUCCUCAAUUUAAUUGUGCAGUCUAGCGAUCCGUCAAUAUUCAAUAGCCAAGGGAUAUUUCCCCAGCCCAGUAAUGCUCCAUAUAUUGCUGGAAACGGCAAAGAGGUUUGUGGCAUUUCUUUUCUUUUCUUCUGGUUUUUAUUGCUUUUUGAAUAGGUGCAACAGUUAUGUGUGAUCUUUUCUACUACUGAUGGGUCAUUCUCAAGAGAUAUGUCAUAGAACCUAACAUUUGAAUGUCAAGAAGGAAGGACCCUUGUUCCUCUUAAUAAUUGAUUUUUCAUGUAAUUGUUUUUGUCAUGUUAUAGUACCACAAACUUUUAGAUAUUGCGUCCAACUCCAUUUAUGUAGAGGACAUCAUGUUUUUGGAGUUCGUUAACUACCAAGAUGCUUGAGAGUUAUGAAAUAAUAAUAUGUUCUAUACAAUUCCAAAGUUUUAACAGUUCAAAUUCAUUUACAAUUGCUUUUUCAGUCAAAAUUACUUGUAAAAGACAAUUUUAGUUUUUACAUCUUUCUGUUACCAAAUUUGUAAAUCAAAUUAGUUCUUAAUCUGUGGACCCAUCAAAUUGUGUCAAGAUAUUAGUAUUAUGUUCUCCAAUAUGAUUUCUUGCCAUAGGUGUACCUUGGUCAGUUGACAUGCAAAAUCAUAAUUUACGGUUUAUUCCUGAAGGUUGUAUUUGUUCAAAAGCUACCACAUGUAUACUGAUAUGCUGCCUUGACCAGCCAAUCGUCUGAUCUAUCACGAUUCUCCUCUCUCUCUUCACGGAGAAGCAAUUGCUAUCCCUUGCUUUGCUUUCAAAUUCCAAUCCAUUUGAUGUCCGUCACCCUGGCCCUCCUCCUUCCUCCAUUUAGCUGCAACGACCGCAGACGUAGGAAGCAGUUCCUCUAUGGCAAAUUGGAAAUGUCGAAGUAGGCUGUGACUUAUAAAUAGGAAGAUUAGGCGUUAGCGGACCAACUUGACAGGACCCUCCUUUGCUCUAUCUAACUUGGCGUGCGCCCCUUCCGGCCGUGUGAGAACAUAAUCGGACAAGCGCACUACUCAUAUCGGUACUAGAAGCUCUCAGUCAUCAUCCUGCUGUCACUCCACACCUAAAAUCCAUAAAACAUCAUACUGACCAGCAUUUUUUCAGGACUGUGAUGAUGGAAAAAUCCUAUUUACAUACUUCAUCGUGUUGCCAUAUUGGAAGUAGCAGAUUUGUUGAAUUGGAACCUUUUAUGUAACCAGUUCCAUUGCUCAUUAUUUUCUUGAUUUUUGGUUUUCCAUUUCUGUUGCACGAAUUUUCUAAACAAGAAUUUUCUUCACUGGGGAAGUGACCCAUAUAUUUGUCCUAUGGAGUGCAUCUGUCUUCCAUUAUUACAUCAAAACACAAUGUAAAGUAUUUAAGUGUCAAUACUAGGUCUUAUUAGUGUUAAAUUUCUUCACAUUAGGUUUGUUGCUAAGUUUUGGUAUCGUUUUUUUUUUUUUGGUUAAAGCAGAUUCAUGAUUUUAUUUUGUAAGACCGACCAAUUUCUUGAUUGCUCUUAAACAUCUAUAAAACUUGAUUUUUCUGAUCUCUUGCCAGUAAUGACAGACAGUGGUGUGAAUCUGGUUCUUUCCUUUCAAUGUAUUUGAUGCAGGAUGUCACGGUCAUUUUUAGAAGAAGAGGAGGAGAUGAUCUGGAACAAAGCCACAGCCAAUGGGCAAAAACUGUCAGAUCUUCUCCAGAUGUCAUUGAGAUGUCAUUCUACCCUAUAACUCUUCUAAUUGAAGGAAUCAAAGGCAAGGAGCAUUUGGAGCGUGCUGUAAGUCUUUAUCUCGAAUGUAAGUUAUCUUGGUUAUUGUAAAAAGUUAUAUUCUUUAUCAAAGUUUUGACAUUUCUUUGAUUCAAAAUGUCGACAAAUGACUCUAGUUUUAUGAUUGCUUGCAGACAAGCCUCAAAUUGAAGAGCUGAGAUAUUUCCUAGAGUUUCAGGUCCCAAGGGUAUGGGCCCCUGUACAGGACAGAUUUCCAGGCCAACAACGGAAGGAACCUGUUUGCCCGCAUCUGCAGUUCAGCAUGAUGGGACAAAAGCUCUAUGUUAGCCAAGAACAAGUAUGCCGAUUUCUGAAUUUGGAAAUAGAGUUUUUGUCAAAUAUUAAUUUAAUUUAUACUGAUGGAGAAAAUGAUAAGUUUUGUCCUGUAAGUUUGUCAGACCUAAGCUUACCUCUCCAGGCACCAACAAAGCUAUCAAUCAUUAAUCAAUGUUAGUCCUAGUGUUACAACCUAAGGGUCCAUUAAGGUUGCUUCAUUUUUAGUCGAUUUAAUUCAGUGUGAUACCUAUUACUGAUUUUCUUAUUCCAUUUAGAUUAAAAGAACUGUAAUUUAUGAUAUAAGCUUAGAAUAAUUUUGAAGCCAGGACUAGAACAUAAUGAAAGUCAAUACAUUUUUAGCUACUAAUGUUUCCCUCACUUUGGACUGAUUUUGCUAGUGCAAACCUAUAUGUAUCUUCAUCUGAUAGACUUAUUGUAAUGCAUCCCUGGCCCUCUUAUCCCAUUUACUAAAUUAUCAAUGUUCUGAGCCAGUUUUGUUUCACUACAGGUGUCAGUGGGGCGUAAGCCUGUGACUGGCAUGCGGCUAACUCUUGAAGGUUCCAAGUCAAAUCGAUUAUGCAUCUAUCUUCAACAUCUGACUAAUCUUCCAAAGAUCCUUCUGCCAUGUUGGGACACUCAUGUAGCAAUUGGCGCUCCAAAGUGGCAGGGCCCUGAAGAGCAAGAUAGUAGGUGGUUUGAGCCAGUGAAAUGGAAGAACUUUUCGCAUGUUAGUACUGCACCAAUUGAGUGUCCUGAAACUUUUAUAGGUGAUGAUCACUCUGGUGUGUACAUAGUGACAGGAGCACAGCUUGGGGUCUGGGACUUUGGAUCAAGAAAUGUGUUGUAUAUGAAGCUUCUGUAUUCAAGGCUACCAGGAUGCACUAUACGAAGAUCACUGUGGGACCAUACCCCGAAUGAUAAGUUGAACAAAAAGGUCAAUUGUGAGAACAACAUUGGCGAUGCAAGUUCUGUUAUAGGGGAGAAUAUUAUAGGCAAUAAGUUGGCAAAGUUUGUUGACAUGACUGAGAUGAGUAAGGGGCCUCAAGAUCCUCCUGGCCACUGGUUAGUAACAGGUGGAAAACUUGGUGUCGAAAAGGGGAGAAUUGUUUUGAGAUUGAAGUAUUCCUUGUUAAAUUAUUAGUUGAUACUGCUUCUGAACACAUGCUGCAUUUUGUUCCACAAGGAAGUAGUAAUGGUGUUUUGGUGUAUAUGGUUCGGGUUUUCUUCUUGUUGUGCAUGUUUACCAUCAUUGUUUGAUGGUAGAGUUCCCUUCGGAGAAGAAUGUAUACCUUAGGUAGUUAUGAUGUGUAAAUUUCUUCAAAUUUUGACAACAAUUGUAUGUUUUCAUCUUGUGUAGUAAUAUGUAGGAAAUGCUACUUCCAACUAAUAAGAGAAACAAUUCAAGAACUGCAGUCAAGUAAAAUCACCAGCAGAGCUACAUCCUAUAAAUCAAUAUAUGGAACUUCUCUAUCAGUAGUUGCGCUAAUUCUUAUUUUUCCAACGCUAAAGUUCUCAUGUCUAUGGCCAUAUGUAAGCUGGAAAGUUGAGUGUAUGAAUUGCACUUGUAUUUACAUUUUGAUCAGUACAUAGCUCCGAUAAUAAAUAUGUCAAAUUCAUCUGAAUAGACUCUUUUAGGUUUGUUUCAAAGAUUGUUCUCUAUGCUCUCAUUAUCUAAUGUAUCUGUGAUCUCAUCAACCACAAGUUUUUCUAAUCGAGUCACGAGACAGUUGGUUGAUUCACUCAGUUCUUGGUUUUCUUGUCGCAGAUUUUCAAUUUCAUCCAUUAGUUUCUUGUUCUGCUCUUCAAACUUUAGACUCGAUAAUAGUUGGUUUUUCAGAUUCUUGUUCUCUCUUGUCAAGUCACCAAUUUUUUUCUUUAGAUGAACUAUCUGCUCUUCUAGAGUCUGGCUUUUCUUCUGCAGAUCAUCCUCCCAAUCGUCCUGCGUAAACAGACGUUAACAUCUCAUGCAUUUAGUCAUAUUCAAAAAAACCAAAUAUAUAAGCAAGAAAGAUAAAAGAUUGUCAAGCUCACAUCACUACUGAUUAAUAUAGCCACAUUUGCUCCUGAAGUUUGUGAACGGUCUGUGAGUUCUUUUUCUUUAUCCAAAUAGUGGCAUGCAGAAGAUCCUGAUACAGUUUCACGCAAACUAACUGCAUCAGAAGAAAGAUUUUGCAUUCCGUAUGCUGGUCUGUUACUUUCGCUCUCUGAUUCAGCUUCCAGGUCAACGAUCAAAUGAACCAUCGACUGAUAUCCACUUGUCACAGUAUGGUCCUAUUAAUUGAAAAGAGUUGAUCUACAAAAAGUUAACUAAACUGGCAAAGAAUGGACCACUAUUGUAACUUAUUUGGUUAAAAGAGCUUGAAGCUCAAAAAUAUAUGGCAAAAGAGGAAGGAAGACUUACAAUAUGAGGCGGAGUAUCCACUGAAGAUCGUGUGUUCAGGUCAGGCCAUGUUCUCUUUUCUGCCACUAUCAACUCUUUGAUUAUGUCACUAUUGGACUCAUCAGAAGUUAGUUCAAGGCUCCAAACUAUCUGCAGAGAGAACGAGAGUAACUAGAAGUCAAUUUUCCAAAGCAUAAUACAAUUCUUUAUGCUUCCGGAAUCACUGUUUGAUAUUGAUGAGAAUACAAACCUGAAUGUGUUUGAGAAGCUAUGAAUGGAAGAUGAGAAGACAACAAAAGAAGGAAAAUGUACAUAUACAAGGAAAGGGAAAGAGAGAAAAACAACACUGAAGAAGAAAAUAUUAGAAAGCCUCAACUUCAUAUUCCUAACUUUUCUUUCAUUUACUGCUGUGAGCUGUCUGUGAACCCAAGCAACACGAAAAGUAGACCAGAGGGUCUGUUUAAUUUUUCUCUCUUUCUUGCAUUCGGAAUUAUAGCCAAGUAGGCAUACGCUCAAAAGAAUGAUUCAUUUUGCUAAUAUAUCAAUUCCAAAAUAACCAAGGAAAGUUCUAUGGUUCAUCAAGACUUCCCAAGAUAACAAAGACACAAUUUUCUCAUGACCGAAAAAGACAGAAAGUAAAUUCAGAUCAGACAAAGUGGAACAGAAACUGUUGUAAAUUUUAUUACCUGAUUAGUCUCUAGUUCUUUGAAUUUUGUUGUGAACCAUUGUCUAUGAUGAGAUUUAGUACUUUCCCAAUUGCAGAUACGGGGAAGCGUAGAGCAGUAGUUCAGUAAACGUGGACGAGCAAUGUCAAUGUGUUCAUAGCACCAUAUCUAUUCAAAUAACAGUAAAGACUUGUUUGGAGUUAAUAGAGUGGAUACAAUGUAUCAUUUGUCAUAAAUACUUGUCGUCAAAAGAGUUGUUACAUAGGUACCACACAAAUUAGUUGAGGUUAUUAAAACAAAGAUUAGAGAUUGUUAAACUUACUUGAAGAAAAAUAAGACAACCUCCAACAUAUUGUAAUUUUUCCUUCUUUCUCCUGCACAACCAGUGAAAUACAUCUGCAAGAACAGCUGCUCCCCAAGCAAAACUGUUCACUUUAUCAAUAUCUCGGAGAAGAUAUACAUAGCGAGAAUCAAUUUUGCCAUUUGUAUUUGGAAACAGAAAAGUUCCAAACAUGUAUAACAAGAAAGACCUCACAAAAUCUUCAUUGUUGGUCUCAGCAAGGGAAUCAAGUCUUUGUUCUAAUGAUGCAACCGUGAUUUUUCUAUUCCACAGGGCAACAUUAUAUUCUCUUUCUAGAUCUAAGAAAGGUGUAUCUUCUCGUAAAAGAACAGGACUUCCUGUCACUCGUAAUCCCAAAAUUAAUGCAACAUCCAGGAGAGAUAUGGUUAUCUCACCUGGAGGAAGUACAAAAGCAUGUUUCUCAUAAUCCCAUCUUUCCAUCAAUUCAACUAAUAGGUUUUUGGAAAGCAUUUGAGUUUGAAUGAGGAGCAAAUUUCCAAAUCCAGUCCUACUUAUGGAAUCCUUUUGACUAUCUGUCAACUUCUUAACACGUUUUAGAAAGGAUGGCAAAGAGAAUCUAGUACUGAAGUUUCCAACCUGAAAACAAUACAAUAUUUUUGAAACUCUGUAGAAAUGUGCUCAAUUAUCUUUCACAUUGAUGUACACAAACUAAUUGAACGGCUGAAAGACACUGUUAUGAAUCGUAAAAAAGUUGGCCACAGUUAGAGUUGCAUUACGAAUAUUCAGUAACCUGAUAGGUCUAUUAUUGUUUAAGCGCAUAGCCAGGGGAAUAGACCUAAGAUUCAUGAACAUUCUAAAGAAAUGAAAAAAUCAUAAAUUAAAGAAGCUCCAAUUCAAUCCCUUUUGUUUUUAUAACCAUGGUGUUCGUCCUUAGCUCAUGUGCACCUCAACUAAUUUCACCGGAUAUAGUAACUCUGUCAAAGCUUAGCCAAAUGAGAAAAAAUCACCUAGUGCUUUUGCAUCUCUUUGAACUUGAAACCUUAUGGUUCUCAAUGCACUUCAUGGAUCACUAGACCGCAUCCUUGAGUGCAGCUCCAACUCAAGCUCUCGAAAACCAGAAAGUCCAGAUAAGCUGGCAUUUCCUUAGUAAGAUAGGGAUUAGGGUGUGUUUGGUAUGGAGGAAAAUAUUGUUCAAAAAAUGUUUUUCAAUUUUCCCAUGUUCGGCUGGCCAAAAUGUUUGGAAAAUAUUUUCUCUAGGAAAACAAGUUCCUUAAAAAUGAGAAAAAUGACUUCCCUAAUGGGAAUAGGGAAAACAAGUUGCAUAAGUGACAUCCCAAGUUAUGGUCUCAUCCCCGCCCACCCAAUCCCCCUCAACCCUCACCCGUAGACCAUCACCCCCACCCCACCCCCUCACCCCAACUCCCCUUCACAUCCCGACACCAUAGUGUUUUGCUAUAUAACAUAUAAAUGCUCUUGAGAUAAUAUUUUCUUGCUUACUUACCAAACAUUAGAAAAUAAGUAAGAAACCCACUUGUUUUCCAAGAAAACAUUUUCUAAAAACUCAUUUUCCGUGGGAAACAUUUUCCUUCCUACCAAACACACCCAUUUUUUCUUCUUUUUUGUCCGAUUGAGAAAAAUUCCUUAUAUUUGGCUAUCUUAUCUCCAAGUAAAACUGGAAAAAUGACUUCGUUCACUCAUGGGUAGAAAUAUAUCCAAACUCUGACUCUAUAUCACUUACUUUCAAACAAUAUUUACACAUCAAUAUCAAUCCCUAAUAUCCGAAAAAUGUGUCAGAGUCUAUCUCAUGCCUUAUUUUACACAGUGUACUAUUAUCAGAUGUCACAAACCUAUAUACCUUUCUUUAAAAU
rnacentral:lncRNA from 1 species